GUUGUAUGUAUGUUGUUACAGGGUGGUUAACUUCGCCAGCGGCCCCUUUUCCCGGGGCAGUCCCUGCUCUCCCCUGCUAGAGGGGCACCCUAAUCCGGCACCCCAUCCGACUUCAGAUUGUAUUCGUUGGGUUCGGCAACUCACCACCAGCAUCCAACCUAAUCUAGCGGAUCAACGGCGCAUCAACUUAGUUCCUGGUCAGCUCACAAGUUGAUUUUAUCACGUCCUAUAUCGUCCGUAUGAUGGGGGGCCACCCCCCAUUUCAACACUCCUCAAACACCCGAGGAGCCGGCAGGCGGAUUUGAACCCGGGUCGGCCGGGAGCAGAAGUCAGGCCUUAACCUCUGCCAGCCUUGUUGUAGGUAGGUAGGUAGGUAGGUAGGUAGGUAGGUAGGUAGGUUGUAGGUAGGUAGGUAGGUAGGUAGGUAGGUAGGUAGGUGAGCUCCAAUGCAACUUUGUCUAUCCCCUAUUUCCCCCCCCAUCGACGUGUUCUGUUCCCCUCCCCCUCCACACCCUGGCACAAACAUGUACAUACGUACAUAUAUACGUACGUACAUACAUACCAAAAUACACAUAUAUAUACACACGCUUACAUAUGCGCAAACGUGUGUGUAUGUGUGUGUAUGUAUGUGUGUGUAGCGGCCUUCUGCCGGCGGCGGCACCAGGGGACCCCCGGGGGAGUCGUCGGAACGCUCCACAGAAGUGCACCAGACCGCCACCACCACCACCGCCGCCUCUGCCGCCGCUUCCUCUUCCGCUCCUGCCUCGACCCCCGAUGCCGCUUCCGAUGUCGCUGUCGUUGCCGCACAUUCGGCGACUGCCGGGGACGUCUCCGGUAUGACGUCAACUUCCAACGGUCAACUUCCGGCGGUUGACCAACCGCCGUCGUACAUUGAGGACCUCAAGGAGCAAGUCAAGGUGUGGGAUGCCAUUCCAACCCGACCCAGACUGUGAAGAACUGUGCCGUUACGGGUUCCGUGCCCGUCGAAGUAUAUUGUAUAUACCAUGUAAAUGUGAUGUGUUUCAGACUCUCAAAGGAUUAAUGGGAACUGCAAAUGGGGUUCACGUAAAUCUCGUCGUUAAGGUGAAUGUCCUCACCCAUGCAUGUAUGUAUGUAUGUAUAUAUCGGCCGCCACCGCUCUCCUUAUUUACCACUCACUCCGUGCCCUGCCCACACAUCCGACAGCUCACCCCCGCACGUCGCCCGACCCGCAUCCUCAUGCCCCCCGCCCUGCACUGACAUCUUCGCAACCACCCAACCACCCAACCGCCCACGGGAUUGUGGUUACGUCGCAUCAGGCCCUUCAAGCUGCCGUUGAGCAACAGAUGGCCCGACAGCAGCAACAACUAGGACAACAGCAGCAGCAACAACAGCUGCAGCAGCAAGUAUAUCCAAAUGCCCAAAUGGCGCCGCCGCCGUUUUGGCCUGUGCCGAUGUACGUGCCACCGCCGCCGCCGCCGCCGCCGCCACCGCCACCUCAGCCGCCGCCGCCGCCACAACCGCCGCCGCCGCCUGCCGACCCCAUUCUCGCUUGUAGGUGCUGUGCCUUCCCUUCGUAUAACCGUUACCUGAAAGCCCUUGAACCUGUUAAACCUACCGUACUGACAUGUACACAUACAUACGUGACAUCCAUACAUACAUACAUGACAUACAACCCGCGCCUUCUGCUUACUGCCGUGUGGUACUUCCCAACCCCUCCCACCCUCCUCCUCCUCUUUUUCAACUCAUGUCUGUUUGGCACCGGCUCGACCGUCCGUCCGUCUGUGCGUACGUCCACUUCUCUGUUGGUAGCCCUUCCUCCGGAUGUGGCUGCUGACCCGGAGAUUAAAGCCGCACACGCCCGUCACGUGCGAGAUAUGGCGCUUUUAAAAAUGGAAAUUGACCGGGCCCGUACGGCAGCUGAGCUGGAGCAGAUCCGUGCGGUCCUGCAGCAAAUCCGGGGCACAAGUGCGUGACGUAAUGGGUCGGUGCACGGGUGUAUGCCUGUCUGUCUGUCUGUGUGUAGGUGUGUGUAUGUAUGUGUGUGUUUUAGAUUUACCCAGGCCGUGAUACGAGAACCGAAGGCCGAAGUGGGUGCACGAUUAACUCCAUACCGUUGCGAGCUCCGAAGCCACCAGCGACGUGCAAUAAGCCUUUUUCGUAAAAUAAUGCAGGCGUAUGUGUAUAUGUAUGUGUGUAUAUGUAUGUGUGUGCAUGUGUGUAUAUGUAUGUGUGUGCAUGUGUGUGUAUAUGUGUGUAUAUGUGAAAAAAUAUAUGUGUAUAUGUUCGUGGAGAUAGGAGUUGGGUUGGGAUGUUCGACAUGUGGGUCGUUGUGGAUCGCUGUUUUCUUCUUGUACUCCUCGCGCUUGCGUCGUCACACGCCUCAACCGCUCUGACUGGGUUUCGAACCGGGGCUGUGCCGCAGGCGAGCCCCCGUCUCAGCAACCACCACAACCACAAGAAGAUCAACAACAGCAGCAACUACAACAUCAAGUUUCAGAGGCGCGGGCUGUAGACUCGUUCGCGGGUGAAGCGGCCGCGGGCCUCAACUCCGAGGGAGGGCUGCAGGUGCUGCGGCCUUCGGAGGUUGCCGGAACCGGCUGGGCGGAUGCGGAGGAUGAGGCCUGGGGAUUCGCUGAGCAGCCGAUAGGGGUACGUAGCUGCAUCAUCAACUAACCGUAGCUGUCUGACAGUUGGUUAUAGUUGAGCAACGGUUAGUUGACAGUUAGAUUUGCUUUAGCCGGUAAGAAUGAUUAUCACAAGAGUGUGUGUGUGUGUGGGGUGAUGACAAUAACGCACAUGUGGACGGUGAUGACAAUGACGACGAUGGCGAUGUUAUAUACAUACAUACAUACUUGUUGCAGGUCGCGGACGCAGCGCUGGAUCGAGAGGAGUACGACAAUGAUCCCGCCGCCGCCGUCGGCGCUGGGGAGGGCCCUGCGUACCCCGGUCAAGAGGAUCCCUCCGAGCAGCUGCUCCGCGACCGUCCGGCGCAUCCGUUGGGGCCGUUGCAGAUAGGCCCGUCACAACUGGGGCUUAUUCCCGAUUCCCAUGUCCUGGAGGUACGUACGUUGCGUGGGUACGACCUGGUACGGCAUGGUACAAUGCAUGUACGAUAGUCGAGUUUUUUGGCAGGCGAGUUCUGGCGCUGGUGCGCGUUCCGCACAACUCCGCACCCUCUUACUCACAUUGUUCUUACAUUGCUCUUACUCACAUUGUUACUCUCUAUUGUUCUCUUUCUCUCAAAUAUAUACUCUAACACAAACACAAAUACACACAAAUACACACAAACACAUUUUUCGCAACUCCUCCCUGUCGCGUAUCAUAUCUCCCUCCUUCCCCUCCUUUCCUUUCUCUUCAUCUUCACUCCGCGGGCGGCCCCCAAUGCCCCCUCACACAAUUUCCAAACCGCAACUGCAGGUUCGCCUCUUCACUGCCGGGCCCUUCCAGAAACGAGGGACGUACCGUGUACGGGCCGUACUGUACGACGGAUACCAACCGAUGGAAGCAGCUCCAGGUGUGAUGAUUUGAUUAUGAUGUUUAUGAUGAUGGUGAUGAUGGUGAUCAUGAUGGUGAUGAUGGUGAUCAUGAUGGUGAUGAUGGUGAUCAUGAUGGUGAUGAUGCGGAUCAUGAUGGUGAUGAUGGUGAUCAUGAUGGCGAUGAUGGUGAUCAUGNNNNNNNNNNNNNNNNNNNNNNNNNNNNNNNNNNNNNNNNNNNNNNNNNNNNNNNNNNNNNNNNNNNNNNNNNNNNNNNNNNNNNNNNNNNNNNNNNNNNNNUGUGCGGGAUUGUGGUUGCUGGGUAGGUGGGGGGUGGGUAGGUGGGGGGUGGGUAGGUGGGGGGUGGGUAGGUGGGGGGUGGGUAGGUGGGGGGUGGGUAGGUGGGGGGUGGGUAGGUGGGGGGUGGGUAGGUGGGGGGUGAGGUAGGUAGGUGGGAGAAAGACAUUCAUCAUCUCACCGACCUUGUAGGUUACAUACGUUUAGUACGUGGUGGUGCAGGUGAUGCUGCGACAUGUGGGGGUAUUUCAGGUUGUGGAAUAAUAAUCGCACCUCUAGCACCACCUGCAGUUCUCAUCGUCAUCCUCACAUUCUGUAAAUCUUUGCAUUCAAACUAUGGCGCGCGGCAGGCGUGAUGGUGGGUGCAUCCUCCCGCCACUACAACCCCACCGCCGAGGACGAUGGCGGCGCCAGUGCCGGCGGCGGCGGCGGCAACAGCGUUGGCCGAGUCAGCAGCGGCGGCGGAGCCGGCGCCGCCGCCGCCACGGCAGCCUCUGGCGGCGGCGGCGGCGGUGGCGGAGCCUAUUCGUACACCUCCCUUGGAGUCGCAAAGUUUGUGUUCUUCAACGAGACGUUGCGGCUAAUUGGCGUACCGCUUCCCCCCACUGCCUUGCUGGUCUUUGAGAUGUACGUGGCCAAGCAGGUGCGAGGGAGGGGGAAGGGAGGGGGGAGAGAGGGAGGGAGGAAGGGAGGGAGGGUGAAGGGAGGGAGGGAGAAUGAAUGAGGGAGGGGACCGCUACCUACACUUUUUCUUCCCCCCCUCACCCCCAAUGGGUUGGCGGGGGUUUCUGUACGGGUGUGUACGUGGCUGGGCGCUGAAGGACGGCUGGGUGCUGUACACGUCCGCUUCAAAUAGCUCACCUCCGUUUCCCCGCACCUCCGUUCUGAAUCUCCUCGUUCAUUCCCGCCCUCUCCAUUGUUCCAACGAACCACACCCUCACUCGUAUCCCCGUUCCAAGGUGGUGGCGGGCAUGCCCAGUCGUGAGGACCUCGUGGCAUGGGCUUUUUGCCCUCUGGUGACGUCGGUUGGGGGCCUGGUGGCGGGCAAGCAAUCGCUGCCGCUGUUCCGACAGCCGCUUAUGAUUUCGGCGCAACGGAAGUACAGCUACGAGGACGCCAUGAUGGACUUUGAAAUCACCAGAAGGUGUGUUUGUGUGUCUGUGUGUGUGUCUGUGUGUCUGUGUGUGUAUACGUGUGUAUGUGCAUGCCCUCGCGUUUGAUCUGUUGCGUUCGUGAGAUUACGUGCACGACGGUCCCGAGGCACGAGCUGAGGCCUUGAUGGGACAUGAUGCUUUGAGGGGGUGCGGCCCGUUGACGUUUUGCUUUUGGUUGCGUGCUGCGUGCUGCGUGCGCGUUCGGAGGGGGACGCACAUAUGCGGGGCGCGCAGUCCCGGCAAUCGACAAUCUCCUCACCCCGCCUGGUGCUCUCUGGUCCCCUCCCCCCCUCCCACCUCCUGAUACUGUUCCUUUCUACUUGCGCGGUGAAGUGUGAGACCCCUGUGUGAUGUGCCAUGAUGUUCCGGUUAUUUUAGUGGUUAAGAUGUCUUUCGAUAUGUGGUUUUAUUGUGGCAUAAUCCAGAUAGAAGAUAUACCCUUGGCAACGCCAUGCGGCCCCAGAUUUCCUCCCCGCCCCCGCAAUGCCGUACCAUUAACACACACACACACACACACACCUUGCCGACCUGCAGGGACGGUAACCCAGGUGACGUCGCCGCCGCCACCAUCGCGGACACAGCCGCAGCCGCCGCAGCCGGCGGCGGCGGCGGCGGCGCUGCCGCCGCCGCCGGGGCCGCCGGCGCUGGCAAAGGCCGCGUCAGCAACAGCGGCGCCAUCUCCCAUCUAGAAGAUGUUCCCGGCGUUUCCGUUGAUGCCUGGAUGCGUGUAACACGUGAGGUAAUGCCCUCAGACUCCUACACGCCGGGGGAUGGCUUCGUUGUUUGUCUGGACGGGGCACGGUUCCUACCCGCGAACGUGACCUUAUCGCGCGUGACGGUGAGUUAACGGUUGACGGUUAGCAUUUGUUUUGAAGAAUAGUAUGUUUUUGUUGGUGAUACGACAGUAGUUUGUCGUACAGGUGUCCAUCUGGAACAACAAUCGACGGCCGCUGGGCUCGGGGGGGUUCUACGGCAUCUCCUGGCCUGACUCGGACGCCAUGAACCCCAGGUAUGGUCGUACACAUGCACGACAGUACGGGACGCGCGUUGUGUUGCACGCAAUAUGAGCUCCAUUGUUCUGCAGGGGAGUCUCCGUCCGCCUACAUACCCCUGCACACACAUACACAUACACAUAUACACACGCACAUACGCACAUAUACAUACAUACACACAUACGUACGCACACAAAUGUGUGGCAGUACGGCAAUACACACACGCCCCACUCCCGCCCGUCUUUCCGUUGGGGCUAGGCAGCAGCCCCUGGCCAGUGUCAGGCCCGGUCAGAUACUUGCAACCUUCACACAUACACACAUACACCCCUAUACACAGACAGACAGACAGACAUAAUGCAUACAUAAUACAUACAUACACCGACGCAGGUACAACAAGUACGCCACUUUGGGAACGGGCAGUGACAAGUUCGACGACAGUACCGCGACUCUGCUGUUCAAGGUGGUAUAGAUGUCGCCGGAGUUGUGGGGGUUGUGUUUUUCUGUGUGUGUGUGUGUGUGUGUGUGUGUGUGUGUAUGUGUGUGUGUGUGUAUGUGUGUGUGGCGGGGUUGGGGUGGGGGUUGCAUGUGCGUGUUCCCACCCUCCCCAGGUUGUCAUUGGUGCCUUUUUAGGCACCAGGGGGGUUUAAUUAUAAUAUAGAUAUAAUAAUAAUAAUAAUAAUAAUAAUAAUAAUAAUAAUUUGAAUUUAAAUGUUUGCCUCAGUCGCCUCAGUCGUGAAAGCGCGCGCUCCUAUUCAAUGUGUCGCACUCGUCUUCACCUCCACUGAGCUGCCGUACACCUUUCCAUCUGUUCAUGUACGGCAGGUGACAACCCUGGAUCGCUGGAGUCGUACGCCGUGUGUGGUGGGCUGGGCGCUGCUCAACCUGUUCAUCGACAUCAAGACGCAACAGCAACCGCUUAGUUCGUACGUUCUUGAUUACGCGCUUAAUCAGGCAAGGGCGUGGUCGGGGGCACGGCAGCUACCCGGAUAGGUAGUGCUGUGCGGAGCUCAAAUUGGUUGGUGAUCUGUGUAGCUGAGUGCGGAAAUUUGAGAUGAGGGUGAUGUUGUUGGAAAGGACAUCGUAUGUGCCAAGCGGCACCUCCGUAUCUGUGUGCAUGUGUAUGUAUGCGCAUGUAUGUGCAUGUGUGUAUUGUAGUGUCAUCCCACCUUUUUUCCCCUUCACCAUCAGGUCCCCCGGGGGGCUCACCCCGGCAUCUCCGGCCCCUGCUAUCCCGUUCCAACACCCCCUCCCUUCUCCCCCUACCUACCUACCUACCUACCUACCUACCUACCUACCUACCUACCUACCUACCUACCUACCUACCUACCUACCUACCUACCUACCUACCUACGUCUCUCUCUCUCUCAUUGACCCAACCGACCCAUCUCCCCUUACUCCGAAACCCGCUUCCCUGAACCCCAACAUACACACACGCACACAUCUCUCCCCCCCCUGAACACCCCCCCCGCCCCGCGCACCGGGGGCCGUCCCCCCAGGGCGCCUUUCAGAUCCCUCUUCAUGUACGACCGCCCUCGGAGAGCAAGCUAGCAGCCAGCAGCUUGCGCGGGGUCCCCAGAGUGCCGUGUGCUUCACUGCUGCUAAGAAUCUUGUCACCCGAGCUUCAUAAGCUGCAAAGGUGUGUGUAAGUGUGUGUUUGUGUAUGUUUGUGUAUGUUUGUGUCUGUCUGUGUGUGUGUAUAUCUGUUACGUAUCGAUCCGGGCCUGAUGCUGGCCAGGGACACCUAACCGGGCACCCCAAGGGGAACGACCGCCGAAGUACUUGGGGGAGUGCUAUAUCGGUCAGAGUCCUGACCGUUCUCCCUUAUCAACGCAAUGCGCCGUCACCUGCUCGAAUCCUCUAGCCAGCUACACACACACCAGCUCAGGUGCCAGGCAACCCCUCCGUUCCACCGAACGCAUGCUCUACAGCCGCGCGAUCUAUCAAUGCACUCACACUUGUGCCCAUCGUGCCACGCUAUCCUGGUGCCGCCGCCUGGUUUCGUUAUCCAACCACCACCAUCUGGUAAACAGCUUCUGGUCCUGGUCCUGUGCAGAAUAUUUAUUUCUCCGUCGCUGCUCAGCGGCUAAGUGUGUAGACCUUCAUGGUGGGAUCCCACUCAGGCCGCCAAGAAGAAGGCCGCACUGAAGGAACCCACCAAUGUCUCACCUCCGCAUUCUACACCUCGACCUAUUUCACCCCGGGGAGGGGAGGGGCGGGGGAAAGGACCAGCGGUGGGAUCCAUACCCACAUUUACCGGUAAAUCCGGAUGCCGUCUCUCUUCUGGAAUUCGAUCACUUGAUUUGCCGAUUAUUUAAACCGGUGCUCCACCAACUUGAGCUAUGUCGGUGUUAUUGUGUGCUCUCCGUACUUAUGUAUGCAUGCAUGCAUGCAUGUAUGUAUGUAUGUAUGUAUGUAUGUAUGUAUGUAUGUAUGUAUGUAUGUAUGUAUGUAUGUAUGUAUGUAUGUAUGUAUGUAUGUAUGUAUGUAUGUAUGUAUGUAUGUAUGACUUAGAUUACACUGUGGGCCGCGAGAGCCGGGGGCCGAAACCGAAACACAGCGCAAGGGUCGGGAGCACACAGCACAAGUCGGUUAGUCUUGUGUGCUCCCGACCCCGACUCAGACUGCCAACACUCUACGCAGCCACUCCGCAGCCCCUCCAUCCAGGGAUGGCGCUGCAUUGAAUACACCACGAAGGGCUCUCAGGUCCCGCUAGAGCGAGUCCACAAGUCUCAGCUAGGGCAAAGUCAAAGGCUCUCUGAAACAACCCCCCAAAACACCACCAACGAAAACGGGAUUCGAAGGGAAAACAAACAAACAAACAAAAAUUCGGUUAGGGCAGUCCCGGCAGGGGAGGGCUCCUGAUAUACCUAACAGGCCAACAAAAAUAAAACCUCCAAGAGAGAACGGCUAAGAGAGCUCGACACCACAAGACGUCUUGCAACCACCUUAAGAUAACUGACUUCCACCACCUGUCCCUUCCUGGGCUGGUCCAGGGGAGAAGUAGCCUUAUAAAGAAAAGGGAUCCCGCACAAGUCUGAUCACCACUGCAGGGGCCCGGGAUAGUCCGGCGAAACCACAAAAGCGUUAGCGGUGCCACGACACACAGCUCCUAGACCCUCCAGAUAACCGCAGGGGGAGGAUUGUAGCCCGCGCGGCGCCUCCCCCUUACCGCCACUAACCUGAACGGUUGGUCCUCCGGAAACCUAUUCACCCUGUCUCGUACUGCACCGCUCUCACCCUCGUCCCUCACCAAGCAACCCAGUCCCACAGAGAAGACGUGUCUAAAUAGAAUGGCCCUCCUCGGGCCACAUCUCCCCCUCAUCCGAGCCCCGCUACCACCACCAGACCUCAACCUCCCAAACACCAGAGAACCUACGUCCUUUUGGCGCUCUCACCGCCAUCUCCCCCCUCCCCUGUCCGAGCGACCCCACCUCCCCCCGGCUCUCCAGCACCCUACAACCUCGGAGCGGCACUAGGGAAGAAAAAGGGUUCUUCCCUGCACGACGUGACCGCCUCCAUUCCCCGUCCUUCUCCUCUCCCUCUCCCGUCUCGGGGUUCCCUCUCAUCUAUUCCCUUGUCCUCCAACCCCCAUCCCCUUCGAACUCCUAUACCCCCCCGAGCCCUGCCCUACAAACUAAGCUCAAAGCGCACUUAGGCAAUAAUUUCCACCGCUUCGGCGCACCGCAGUGCGCCUUCUGAAACCGACAGGAUCGGGUGGUCGGGUCCCACCCUGUCCCAGCCUCUUCGCGGGGUGCCCAGCGCCGUGAAGGAGCGCAGGCGCGCCCAGAAGUAUAUAUGUAUGUAUGUAUGCAUGUAUGUAUGAAUGUAUGUUAGCAAGAUUGCUUGUUCUUCGGGGCGCCAUGCGCGCCAGGAGGUGGCGACGUGCGGAUUGUCAUGCCUGUUGUUUCCAUGCAGCAGGCAUGCGUAUGUGCGCAUGCCACAUCCCCACAUGCCUCUCCCCCCCCCUGCGACCCCGGGGAAUGGUUCCCUCAGGCGGAAGAAACUACCUGAGUUUUCAGACCGAGUGUACGACAGCACGCGCGACCUGCCCAACCCCCUGGAGCGCCGACUGUACAACAAGUACUUGCGCCGCCGCAGGUUCCUUGUACGGGAGGCGGCUCGGCUUUUAGUCAAUGGGUACGCGAAUGAGAGAGAGAGGGAGAGCGGCGGAUUCGUUAGUAGUUGGUUCGUUAUCGGUUGGAGUCAGUUAGCUCCGUGUAACGACCUACCCUCACUUCUUUGUAUUAUCGUAAAAUAUACAAAUUUUAUUAUUAUGAUGAUUAUUAAUGUAAGAAUACUAUUUUCCAAGUGUUUUCGGUGCCUUUUAAGGACAGUAAUGUGUUAAGGUCGCUGCAAUUGCUGAAGCAAGCAUAUUAUUAUGGCCAUAUGCCACACUCAAGCUCGUGGGGUUCAUGCAACGACUGAAAACGCGCUGUGCGUGUUUUUUGGGGUAUUUAUGUGCUUCUCCCUGUUUUUCCCUCCCCCCCGGGGCCCCCCCCUGACCUACCGGGUCAUGGCCCCCUGCAGUCGUGCGAUGGGUCGUGCGAUGGGGCAUAUGGACAAACCCGGCGGUGGCGGAGGCGGCGGUACGGCAGACGGCGGAGAUCUGAUCGCAAUGGCGGGCUCCGACGGUACGGGCAAAAUUUAAUUCGGGGGCCGGAAACGUGCGCCUAAGACAGGUGUUGCACAUAUAUGUAUGUAUAUAUUAUGUGUAUACUUAUAUACAUACAUACAUGCAUACAUUACAUCUAUCAUCUAUAUAUGUGAUUGGUACUGCUUGGUCGUACUUCCUGGUUGAAGGAGGAUGGAGGGCUUCCCGCCGCCUUCCUGGCUUUCCGAUUUUCCAUUCACUCGGGAUGUCAAGGUCCGUUGGAUUGAACUUACAUUCUGUACGAUCUCCCCUGCCGUACAGCCGUCCUGCCUAACAGUGAUGUUGAGCUGAUGGAUUGGAUGGACCGUCAGCUGGCGCCAACCGGGGCGCCGUGUGAGUGCGUGUGUGUGUGGGAGGGGAAGGGGGGAGAGAGGUUGGGAUGGGGUGGGGUGGGGUGGGGUGGGGUGCGGGUUUUUUUUGGGGGGGUUCAAACACCACUUAGCGGUUCCACUUAGAGGUUUCUGGCUUUUGUCGUUUUCAUUCUUUGGAUUACAUUCACAAUAAUAAAUUAAAGAAGGGAAGUAGGAGGAGGAGUAGGGAGUGAAAGACAGAGACAAGUGUUGCGAGCAUUGCUUCAUCUGCCCCCCAUGAAGGAAACCCUGAAACCCCUCACUCACCCCCUCACCCCCUCACACCCCGGUCAACACCUCUCCCACAGCCCCCUCGCCAUCCGAUCGCCAGCUGCCGUACAACUUGGCCUCCGAGUACUACCCUGAUCUGGGUUUUUACGUGUCGGUGGACGGCGCGUUGCGGCUCCCGAGGAACCUCCCAUCAGCCGCCCUCACCACCUUCGCGCCGCCGGGCAGCUUCUACCAGGCAAGAUACAACACCAAACAAAUGGUACUCACAGCAAAAUACUCACCGUAAUAUAAAACAGAAGCAACGCAAUACAAACCGCAAAAUGCACUGUUACACAAUAGUUGUACCAUGGGGUUCGUUACCGUUAGGGGACCUGAAAAAAGUGUUGAACGGCGGGCGCAGUCACGGUCUCGACAUUUCCAGUAUACUUACUUCAGGAUGGGGCCGGGAUUGCGGCUGUGGGUUACAUGGAAUUGAAUCUCGGCAUGUACGGCACGUACGGCAUGUACGGGGUAUACUAAUUCCCAGAGUAAAAAAAGACAGUGUGCUGCUGCUCCGACCCUUUUGGGGGUGAAGGUUUCAUGAUUCGGCCAAAACCCUAAAACCCUCGCUAAUCCCUCGCUAAUCCCUCGCUAAUCCCUCGCUAAUCCCUCACUACUCAAACCGCCGUGCAGGACAGCCCCCUGGUUGACGAUGUGCGUGUGACAUUGGAUUACGAUAUGACCGCCCCCCUGGCUAACCCAGUGUGGACUGACGGAUUCGUACACUUCAGCGGAGUGGUGUACGAGCAGGGGAUGUGCAUCAUCGUAGACGUGCGGUGCGUUGGGAAUUGCUUGUCCAUGUAGCGGUAGAGCGGAUACAAAGCAAUCUGCAUCUCCCCAAAAUGUGUGUUACAUAGUGUAACACACAUUGUUACACAGUGGUACACAUUGUUACACAGUGGUACACAUUGUUACACAGUAUAACACACAUUGCAGUGUAACACACAUUUUGGGGAGAUGUAGAGCAAAGAGAACAGGCAAGUCCCUGCCAUAAAACACACACACACACAACACGAUGUCGGACUCGUUCUUCAUCGGUCGCUCCAGAACCACCACUGAGAUAGGGUUUACCUCGCACGCUGUGAUCAACGCCCAAGUUCUGCACAAAAAUAACUGUCAGCACUUUCCCCCUCGGCGCGCGACAUAGGUGCUCGGCUGUGUGUGUGUGUGUGUGCUCGGGCAGUUGCGGGUGUGCAUGUGUGUAGCACCGUGUUGUGUGACGUCCUUUUGCAGAAAAAAAGAACCGAUCGGCAGAUGACAGAUCCCGUGAUACCCAGGAUACUACACACUGCAUGUAUGUAUGAUGUUGUUACAGGGUGGUAUAGCUUCACCAGCGGCCCCCUUAUGUAUGUAUGUAUCUAAUAGAUACAUAGGGUCGAACCCUGGUAUCUAUGCAUGUAUGUAUGUGUGUGGUGUGGAAAGGACUUUACAGAAAGGGGGGAAAGUCAUCAGCUUUCGGAGGGGGAAAACCCCUCUGAGAGAGGGGCUGGGGAGAAGUCAUCAGGUUUCGUGGAGGCGCGUGGUAAGCCGGCCACCUGGAGGAGAGCCGUGAACCUUUAAAUAUAAAUAGUUGGGAGGGGGGGAGCCUUCGCAGUACCUCCUGGGCCGGGAAUAUACGAUUUGGCAAAGGAGGCGGGUAACUGCGGGUGACUCGCGUCCCCGAGGGUUUUUCCAAAGGUAGGCUCGGGUCGAACCCCUAACCGGACUCCCUGCUCUGCCCUGCCCUGCCCUGCCCUGUCGUGUCGUGUCAUGUCCUGGGGGCCCCACGUCUCGCAGAUUGAUUGUACCUGCCACCGGCACCAGUGCGCCCGCGGGUUGGUCUGCCGUACGGCUGUUCGAACGGGAGGGCGAGUUCGUGGCUUCGGGACAUUACCACCUGCCUCUAUUCGCCGGAGUGCCUUCGAGGUACCUAAUGCAGGUGCUGCGGGUGACGGGGGUUGGGGGGUGAAGGGGGUUGGAGGGUGAAGGGAUCCUCAGGGUCGACGGGGGUUGGGNNNNNNNNNNNNNNNNNNNNNNNNNNNNNNNNNNNNNNNNNNNNNNNNNNNNNNNNNNNNNNNNNNNNNNNNNNNNNNNNNNNNNNNNNNNNNNNNNNNNNNNNNNNNNNNNNNNNNNNNNNNNNNNNNNNNNNNNNNNNNNNNNNNNNNNNNNNNNNNNNNNNNNNNNNNNNNNNNNNNNNNNNNNNNNNNNNNNNNNNNNNNNNNNNNNNNNNNNNNNNNNNNNNNNNNNNNNNNNNNNNNNNNNNNNNNNNNNNNNNNNNNNNNNNNNNNNNNNNNNNNNNNNNNNNNNNNNNNNNNNNNNNNNNNNNNNNNNNNNNNNNNNNNNNNNNNNNNNNNNNNNNNNNNNNNNNNNNNNNNNNNNNNNNNNNNNNNNNNNNNNNNNNNNNNNNNNNNNNNNNNNNGAAGGGGGUGAAGGGGGUUGGGGGGUGAAGGGGGUUGGGGGGUGAAGGGGGUUGGGGGGUGAAGGGGGUUGGGGGGUGAAGGGGGUUGGGGGGUGAAGGGGGUUGGGGGGUGAAGGGGGUUGGGGGGUGAAGGGGGUUGGGGGGUGAAGGGAGUGGGAGCGGGAUCAUCCGUCAUACUUCAGCUUCCUGUAAGAUUGUGUGCAGAUGUGCGAUUUUUCUUUUUCUUUCCGUAUAUGUCGUCACGCAUUUGACAUUAUAAGAAUGUAAUUAAGUAAUAGGUAUUGUAGUUUUAUUAUUUGCUAAUUUGGUUGCUGAUCCUCAGCUUCUAAUUCUGCUGCUACUGCCUGAGUCACGCUGUGACUGCUGCUGUUACUCUGCUAUUGCCGCUGCAGGAGAUCGCUGCAGCAGGCGACCUGGAUGCCGUGAUUGCCAACCAUUUGCAGGUACACAUGUGCGUAUGUGUGCAUGUAUGUAAUUAUAAUGUGUAUAUAUAUAACUCAUUCUUUCAACUCCGGCGUUCUGUUAAAAUGUGUUAUGUGCGUCUGUAUGAUAGUAUGUAUGUGUUGUUUGCGCGGACCUCGUUCCGUUCCUUAAUUCAUGUCUCCCCGGGUGUCAUUGCCCGCAGGCGUGGCGCGACAAUUGGUAUUGUGUGUUUUCCUCUCUUGCUUUUACCCCGUGAUCCCCCACCCCCCUCCCGUAGCCCUGUACUGCUCCCGUACCUUCAUUCCCACCCACCUCGCUCGUCUCCUGAUGCAGUAUGUCUGUAUGUCUGUAUGUCUAAUUCUGCGGAGAGAUAUCCAUCUAUCUCUUGGGGUAUCAGCUGCACCACCCGUCUAUGGGGGUCGUCUUCCCCUUCCCUCUCCCCCUCCACACCAACCGUUCCUCUCCCCCCUCCUUUCUCUCCCUCCUGCCCCCAGACGGGUCGAAUCAAGGUUCACGAGGAGUGUGCGAGUGUGCUGGUGAGGCUGCAAGAGGCGGCGGAGGACGGCGGGAAAGGUCACGCGGCGUGCGUGGUCUGUACGUCUGUCGUCUGUUUUGCUUCCAUAUCUGUAUGUCUGUCUAUGCCUGGCUAUGUAUGUCUGGCUAUGUAUGUAUGUCUAUGCCUGGCUAUGUAUGUCUGUCUAUGCCUGGCUAUGUCUGGCUAUGUCUGUCUGCACAUAUAUGAAGCUGUUGGGGCUGCGGGAACGGGACCCCCAACGGUGCUGCCUGCCGCGUGCCGCUCCUUACAUACAUACAUACAUACGUACGUACGUAUCAGCUUUCCCGCUUCCUCCCGGACCCCCUCCUUACCGUUGGAAAUGAGAAAUUCUCCUCAUGGGUAAUAACCCUCUCAAGCUUAAGCCUCCUCCUUCCCCCCCUCCGGAUUACGAGAAUCCCCCCCCCCCCCCCACCACCACCACCACCACCACCACCACGACGACGUUUGGAAUUGGUUCAGAUCCGGCUGAUGGACGUCUCCAGGGAGGGCCAGCUUGAGACCCCCGCUACCCGGGUGCCGCUGACGUCGCUGCGGCGGCCCGCGUACUGCAGCAUGGCGCCACAACUGGGAACCAAACACUACGAGCUCAUGUGUAAACAGGUGCAUAUGUGCGUGCGAAGUAUGUAUGUUUGUGUGUGCGUGUGAGUGUAUCUCUUUGUGUGCGUGUGUGUCCUCCACAGAGCCGCGAAGAAGAAGAAGAAAAGGAAGAUAUGUUCUGCAUAAAUGAUUUUGGGUAUGGUUCCUCUUGUGUAUGUAUGUAUGUAUGUAUGUAUGUAUGUAUGUAUGUAUGUAUGUAUGUAUGUAUGUAUGUAUGUAUGUAUGUAUGUAUGUAUGUAUGACGUUGAUUACACUGUGGGCUGAAAAGCCGGGGGCCCAGGGCCGAAGCACAGCGCGGGGGGCGGGUGCAUACGGCUGGUUAGUCUCAUGCACUCCGCCCCCGGGUCAGGCCGCACGGGAAACGACGGCCGGCACGCAACAGCGCUUGUUUGGCGCUCCAACUAGACGGGAUCUAUGCCCGUUGGUCUCCUAACAUAAACGAAGUCGCAACUGGGGGGCUCUUCCUGCCGACCGAACGAACCGAGCAUCUCAGAGAGCUCGCUACCAGGACUUGGGCGACCGGGAGCCCGACGAGUCUUCCCGGGCUGGGGAGGUCACCAAGCUCAAAAAUCCUCACGCAAAAAAGAGCGCAAAGAGCUCACACCACAAGACGCCAAACAGCCUCCUGAAACUACUACCCUCCUCCGCCUCUCCCUCCCUGGGCUAGUCCAGGGGAGAUAGCCCCCGUCGAGGGGGUAACACCGCACAAGUCCGCGCCCUUCCACAGCACUGGGUCUAAAUUGAAAAGUAUGUAUGUAUGUAUGUAUGUAUGUAUGUAUGUAUGUAUGUAUGUAUGUAUGUAUGACUUAGAUUACACUGUGGGCCGCGAGAGCCGGGGGCCGAAGCCGAAACACAGCGCAAGGGUCGGGAGCACACAGCACAAGUCGGUUAGUCUUGUGUGCUCCCGACCCCGACUCAGACUGCCAACACUCUACGCAGCCACUCCGCAGCCCCUCCAUCCAGGGAUGGCGCUGCAUUGAAUACACCACGAAGGGUUCUCAGGUCCCGCUAGGGCGAGUCCACAAGUCUCAGCUAGGGCAAAGUCAAAGGGUCUCUGAAACAACCCCCCAAAACACCACCAACGAAAACGGGAUUCGAAGGGAAAACAAACAAACAACCAAAAAUUGGGUUAGGGCAGUCCCGGCAGGGGAGGGCUCCUGAUAUACCUAACAGGCCAACAAAAAACCUCCAAGAGAGAAAGGCUAAGAGAGCUCGACAUGUAUGCAUGUAUGUAUGUAUGUAUGUAUGUAUGUAUGUAUGUAUGUAUGUAUGUAUGUAUGUAUGUAUGUAUGUAUGUAUGUAUGUCAAAUAUGAAAUAAGGGAGAGGCGUCCCAUGGCGGCUCGUGGUGGAUGACAAAGGGGGAGAUGGAAGGGGAAUGAAACUGGAAACCCAGCCGCCAAGCUGCCCUUACAUACCCAACCCCCGACCGGCCUACUUGGCACACUCUGACCCACGGGUCGCCAGGUAACCAACAAGACGUACGCUCAGGCCAAGCCCCGGAACAUGCCAGACGACGUUUGGGUGGAGAUGAUCAACGACGCCAUCAUCAAGGUGGGACUGUGGGAGGACUGGGUCGUGUAAGCACGAUUGCAAAAUAAGAAAACGAUUUCAUGGAAUAACUAAUAAAAACUUAUUUUCAAAAUAUACUAUUAUGAAUCACUAUUAGCAUAUCACAGAAAAGUAAAUAAAUCGUUUUGUAACCUGUCAAGAAGAAUUGUUGAGGUAUUACGGCCCAUCAGCAAAAACAAAGGUGUUAGAAUGAAAGACGUGGGCCAGAGGAUACGGGCCGGGCUGGGAGAGUGUAUGGGUACGGCGAUUAGGAUGCUCCGUACAGCAUAUACCUUCCGUGCCUAACUCCUGCCGUCGUGUGUGUAUCACACGGUGUUGAGUUUUCCACGGGUGGUGCCUGUUCUGAAGACCCACAGAAAUACAUACAUACAUGCAUACAUGCAUACAUACAUAAGGACAUGCAAAUACACACAUGCAUGUGACGCAUGUCAUGUGGGUUUGCAGGUGGCUGGGCUCGCGGAGGACGAAGAGGAGGACGAGGAGGGGGAUGGGGGGGCAGCAGCGGCGGCAGCUGCGCCGGUGCCGCCGCCGUCGGCAGGGGCGGCCUCCGCCGCCGCCGCUUCCGCCCUUUCCGGGGUCGUACCGGCGGCGACCCCGCGACCGCGCAGCGCCGCCUCAAUGCGCCGUACAUCGACGCUGAGAAGCCAAGGAAGCUUCGCUGCCGCCGGUCGUGCAACGCCGAUGUUGGCGCCUGUGGCAGCGCCGCUGCUGCCGCCGCCCACCGGCGGCAGCGGCGGCGGCAACGCUGGGGCACCUGCCAUGAGCGGCGCCCUCACGGCGCCGCCGCCACCGUUUCCAGGCCAGGGUGGAAUGAUGCGGUGAGCAUGUUCAUGCGUGCACUGUAUAUGCACUUAUGUAUGUACAUUUGUUUCUCUGUCUGUGCAGCACGAGGGCUGGGGAGAAAAGGGUGGGAAGUAAGUAAGUAAGGGAGGGGUGAAUGCGUUUACGGAUACGAUACAGAGGAACAUACAUAUCGCGGAGAUUCCACCCCUGGAGUUUCCGUGGCGCACGUGUUCCUUGCACGGCGGGGACCCGUGUGGCGGGUGUAACCGAGGAUAUUGGUUUGCAUGUCUUGCCCCAAAACUGGUCUGCAACAACUCUUGCUCAACCUUCGGAUAUGCCAGCUGGAUAGCAUUUCACACACGGCUUUCCCCCCCUUCACCACACACACCUCCCCCUCCUCUCCCCCCCUUUCACACACACCUCUCACUGGCUUUUCGCGCCUGCAGGCCUCCGUACCCCUGGCCCAUGCCCUUUCGGCCCAUUUACCCCCCGUAUCCCAUGUACCGUCCGCCGUUUUUUCCCGCUUACUUGCCACCGUAUGGCAUGGGCAUGGGCAUGGGCAUGGGCGGCAUGGAUAUGGGUGGUAUGGUUGGGCCUGGCGCGGCCGUUGGCGGCGGCGGCGAUGGCGGCGGCGAUGGCGGUGGUGGUGGCGGUGGUGGUGGCGGUGGUGGUAAUGGUGGUGGUAAUGGUGGUGGUGUGGCUCCUAUGGCAGUUGGUGGUAUGGGCGGGAGGAUGAUGAUGCGCCCGCCAGGAUACGGCAUGCCCCCCUGGUACGGCAUGGCACCAGGGUACGGCAUGUUGCCCAGGGAGAUGGUGAUGGGCGGCGGGGCGCCGCAGGGCCCUAUGGUGCCCGGGGGGGAAAGAGGUGCGGGAGGAGGAGGGCCCCGUCCUCAGGAAGCGGCAGCAAGUCAAGGACAGCAGCAACAGCAACAGCAACAGCAACAGCAACAGCAACCCCCAAGAAGUAGCGGCGUUCCCAAUGCGGCGGGUACUACAGGCCUACCGCAGCCGCUCCCGCAGCAGCAGCAGUAGCAGCAGUGGCAGCAGUAGCAGCAGUGGCAGCAGUAGCAGCAGUAGCAGCAGCCUACUAUAACCUAUGCCUCCUUCCCAGGCCCAAGGCUCAGGUACAACCUCCGGCUCAGGUGGAAUAACGCGCUGCUGCGUGCGAUAUAGCUCCGAAUCCUACCAUGUCCCAGAGCCCCAGCCGUGGAGGGUGUGAUGUGUGCGUUGUGCGCAAAGCGAUGGUGAUCAUGUAUGUGUGUAUGUAUGUAUUGGUCUCAUGGUGACAAGAUGACACGAUUACCAUGUAGUUACCACAGUUCGUUUCACGAGCUUUGGCCCUUUUUACGGCUUUAAUGGUUGUGUGUGUACGUGUGUAUUCUAUGUGUAUAUGAUGUGUGAAACAGGGUGUAUCUUCGCCCGUGGCAGCUACCCUGCGAAACCCUGCCUUCCCCGGUAUUUCGGGGCACCCUCAUCCAGUCACCCUAGUCAUCUUCUCAGUGGAUCGCUCAGGUUCCGCACCCACCACCAGCAUCCAGCGGAAUCUGCCGUGCGGCCCAACUCCAUUCCUGGUCGGCUCGCAGGUUAACUUUAUCCCAGGUCACCACCAUCCACCAACCAGGGGCGCAAUGCCUUCCACCAUCGGAAGGACAUUUGGCCCCAGCGGGUAUCGAUCCCGGGAUCUCCCGGGGGCAAUGGCGCCUUACCAGUAGUGCCAAACCCUAGAUAUAUGUGUAUAUGAGUAAGUAUGUGUGUGAAUAGAUGUGUAUGUGUGUAUAGAUGUCUGUGUGCCUCUUGCAGCUGCCGAGGGAACAGGACGGGCCUUUCCUGGUGGUGCGGACAAGCGUGUAUGAUGCAUGUAGGCUUUUGAGGGGACUGGGGCUAAAGCGAAGGCCAACGUGGCCGUGCCUCUGCAAUGCAAAGCACGCCUCGCGGAGGUGGAUCUGUGGAUGGUGGUGUUUCGGAAUUCUUUCUCUUGUAGCAUGGUCAUCAAGGACGGGUCGGGCAAACGGCACGGUUUGCUGUACUUGGACUAAGCCCUCUUUUCCUUUUAUGAAACGAGCGAGGACACGCGUCGUAAUCAAUUGUAAAGUUUUCGCCCUGACCGACGUUUAGUCCUGCCAGACGGCUUGCGAAUAAGUCAGGUGAAGCCACCGACGAAUUGCUAGCCAGAAGCAAUUGCAAGAAAGGUCGCAUCUGUGAAUAAAUGCUCAUUUCUACUUAAAAAGUCGGGGCCUUGCUAGAACACCAGGGGGAACCCAACUCUAAAAUGGGUCCAGGCUUUGGUCAGUUUGCGGUUUGCAUAAUGUUGUAAGAUUGUGAGAAAUACCGGCAUAUGGUGUCGGAUAUGUAGACUGACUUGUUGACGUGUCGUAAUCUUCUCCUGCCGUGCGAGGUCAUCCUCAUGAGGUUCACCGCAACAUGAAUGUUACCCAGUUCCCAUGUAUAGGUGUUGGUACUCGAGUUUUAAGAUUAACAUACUUCUGGCGCAAUUCCUUGUGUAAAGUUGCUGGCCGCGUCACCUCAGGGAACCUUCAUUGGAGGCGCCUAGACUUCCGUGCUUGACGCGUCGAGCAGGGCGCCGAAAUUUGCUCUAUGGCGCUUAGCGAGUUCGGCCAGGCGUUUUUGGACAACCUGGCGGACCUGAAGACCCCUGAAAGGAGGUCUAUUGUCACGCUGAAGGACUUGGCGUUUGAGAACCCUUCUGAAGCCGGAAAUGUUGUUCGGGCUAUUCGUCAGCAUAUCAAACAGGUGAGGUCCAAAAGUGUUACUUUUUGUGGCGUUGCUGCGGGCUAUCUGGCCUGUAGGCGGCCCGGCGUUUCUCAAGCCGUCUAUGCUGUCAUUCAAAAGCUUUCCCGAUAUCCUUGUCGAGAUUGCUUUUUCUUCUGCCUAUGUGCAGUGUCCCGCUGCUCACCGAUUGCCGGCAUUGUACCUCGUGGACUGCAUGUUAAAGACGGAGCCGUGUCCACCAAUGUAUGCAGAGCAGCUUAGCCAAUCUUUGCUGGAGGUAAGUUUUGCAGCUGAUUGUUUACGUAGGUUUUGUGAUGACAAGAAGUCCCAUCACCAUUGUGCAGAUCUUCGUCUUUGUAUGGGACAACUCGGACGCUGCGACUCGACCCGCCCUAAACAAGUUAUGCAAGCUAUGGAGGUCGGUGGCGCGGCUGGACCAAAAGGUUGUUGAGGCGUGUGAGAAGUAUAUGGUGCCCGCGGGCAUGGCCUCGACCUCUGCUGGGGGCGCUGCCUCGAGUGGUAUGAUGCCUCCCCCCGGCUAUCGGGGCUAUCCUGUGACGCAGCCGCCUCAACCUCGUCCCCCCGCCCCUUAUGGUCGGCCUUCGGCCGCAAUAGGUAACAGUUCGUUUGGACCUAGAGCGUUCGGUCAGCCAAUGCAUGUGCCCCAGGUUGCAAUGCCGCCAGCUCCUUUCCAAGCUGCGCAGCCGCCACGGCCAGCGUACCAGUCAGCGCAGCCACCUGCAGUUCUUUUACCCAUGCCAGCGUUUAUCCAAACCCAGCAGCCGCAACAGGCCCAAAUGCCAUACGCAGCUCCAGCAGCACAUCAGCAGUUACCGUUUGCAGUUAGACCAAUGCCACCGAUGCAUUUUGCUGGUGUACCGACACCCGCACAUGUCACGAUACCCGGGACGCUCAUACCGCCCGCAAUCCUUAGCAUGCAUCCAGCUCCGGCUCCUGUUGUGCAGCAAGUUUUAGCGCCAGCGAGUCCGCAGCCAGCACCAAACAGCCCGCAGCAGACAAAUGCGCGGACGCGCUCGACCGAGUUCCCCGGGCCACGGGCCUUGCAGGUAAAUUGCGUGCACGGUUUGUUUGUGGUCGCCUUUGUGGUAGGAGGUAUGGGCUGCUAUGUAGACUCUCUGGGGUGCGUUUUGAGGGAGGGGGAAGGAUGCGGUCUGGAGUGUGAAGUGCUGGUAUGCACUCCUGGAGGUGGGCAGAGCGCGCCCCUAUCGCUCCGUGUCAAUGUAAAGGAGGACAGUGUUGGCCGCACGCCAACCUGGCAAAUGAACGGUUAAAGGCUCGGUGACAGCUGUGAAGUUACACCCACAAAGCAAACCAGUCAGCGGAGUUGGUCAGCAAGAAGAGUUAAACCAGCCCAACAAAAGUUUGAAAUGAUUGGUUUGCAGGAACUUGAUGAGACGGCCGUGCAAGACUUGCGUGAAGCGUCGGAUCGCACACGACCUGCCUUCCUCGAUGCGUCGUUCUUGAGAAACAAGCGUCGCGCUGCACAAGCCGCUUGUGGCCUGCCUUCUCGCCAGUGGUAUCCAUCGACGGAUUUAUGGCUUGUAGGCACAACGUCAGUAGCAGAGGACAAGGAAGACAGAAACGUGGAGGUGAGAACAUGUCAAUAAGCUCAUAUGAGGUCUCUCCUAAGUAAACUUGCACUUAAGAUUAUGUAUUCGUAUGUAAUGCAGGAAGAAAAUGUUCAAACGGAAGAGGGGAAACUUUUCUUCGUCGAGGAGGAUCCAUCGCAGCCUGAGUGCGCCAUCUCCGGCGAAGCAUUUGAGCGCUUCUACGACCCGGAUUCAGACAAAUGGUGUUACAAAGACGCUGUGAUUCUUAGUGCAGAGGAUGCUGCAAAGUAAGUCGUCAACGCCCAUUGAAUCUUAACAUCGACGCGCGAUUAUGGAAGCCAAGCACUUGACAUUUUUGAAAUUAAACAUCUGAAUCAUUGUACACAUUUGUACUUCAUUAAUUGAACUUGGGUCAUGAUUUCAUAAAAUCAUAUGCACUACCGUACCGCAAAUGUCUGCCUUUUUGUUCCCAGGUGGCCUGUCGCGCUAAGGUUUAUCAUCAUCCGGGCUUAUUCGGCACCCGCAGGUACAAUGUCAUGGACGGUUCUAUCGUCAAGGUGCAGUGCUUAUCGGGCGCGCCGUCCAAGCUACAGUUGGCAACGCUGCGGGCAGCCACCGCCGCGGCUGCCGCAGCAGACGACUUGCGCCAAGCCGCGGCACAACCUGGCUCCGUGUCGGGCAGCUCCGCCCGUACCACGUCGUCGCCAUCAUCAACGGGCCUCCUCCAAACCGCUGCGCCAUACGGCGAAAUUGGGCGGCACGUCCCAGCCACUGCGGCCACGACAUCGCAUCUGGCGCAACCUGGGUUGGUGCAUGUCAAGGAAGAGCAUUAUGCUGGAGGACCAAUCGGGGUGAUGGGUGCAAUUGCCCCGGACGUCCACUCGCUGAAACGGCACGCAUCCCUAGCCGACGCUCCUGCCACGUUCCCGGAGGCCAAGAGGGUCAAGCUGGGAUGCACGUGAUGCCGAUCGCUGCAUGCGACUGCGCCGCAUAGGGGUGGAGGUGAUAGCUGUGGAGAGUUCGCGAGGUCUCCCGGACAUUUGUUUGGGAAUAUCGGUAGAGAGGUGCAAUGCAGUAUGUUAGAUGCUGAAGGUAGACAGGCAAGCAUAGCGCUGCGGAGCUGGCAAAUUGCAGCAGUCUGCUUGCGCCCGCUGCGCCGCAUCCCUCUGCAUAGAGGCGCGCGGUUCGUGGGUGUGCAAAGGCUUUGGGUGCUUGGAGAGCUGGUGACCAGACUUGCAUAAAGCGGGGUGUGUUAUGGUGUCAAACGGAUUUAGUACCUGGUCAGGUUUUAUCGAGCAAGAAGGCAGGCAGGCAGGCAGGUAUCAGGUUAACAGCCUUAAAGCGACAUUGCGGUAGCAUAGGACUCCACCCGCCGCGCAUCCACAACGCAUGUACUACGGUGUCGUUGGUUGACGUUCUCUGCAGGAAUUGCAGGAACGAGCUUCUGCGUGGGCUUUGUGGCUCGCGCGCUCGUUUGGCUUUGGUGCCCCAUUGACGGGUUGUGCUUCAUGUACAGUAUCGGUUCGGUUUCUGGGGUCACAUGCACAGGAAGAAACAAAGGAUUGAAGUUUCCUGUCGCAUCUGCGGUCGCAUGGACAUUGCGUAGCAUUCGCAAGUGCCUGCUAGCGAAAAAGUGGAAACGCAGUAACAAGCGUUAACUUCAGUGGCUCGGCUUGUCCUCCUUUGCUGCUGGUCUCAACAGGCAAUGCUGUUUUAAGAUCUCUAGGUUAUAACUUAAUGCUGACUCCUUAUUGCCCGCAUGGGAAAGGCGGGGGGGAUAGUUGAUGUGAUGAAAGGGAUGGACAAGCUGUCCGGGUGUGCCCACGAUGCUGGUCAUGCAGCAAGUCUCCAACCCGCACCCACAAAUACAGCAACUUCGCUUAAAGUAGGUCCGGUUGAGCACAACUUUUUGGAAGACACAAGAACAGCUCCUGUUGCCGCUGCUGCUGCUGCUGCGGACAACUGCUCAAACUGAAGGGAUUCGGCUUCUCCUAGUGCGGCGGGAAAUCACAGGGAAAAAGCCUUACAAGUUUCUGCAACGCUGGCACAACGCUGGCACAAUAUCGAUGCAACCAUGAUGGCUUUAGUUUGGCGUCCUGGUGGGCGGUAGUGGAGAAGGCUUGGGUGGGGCGGCGGAGCGGUAGCAGUCUGCGGCCGGCCUGGCGGCCAACCCGAAUGUUGUCAUUUGUAAAUGAUAAACCUGCCAUGGAUUUUUUGCCUGAUAUGGUCGGCGGGUAAGGAGCUUGAUCCGGAAUGGUCUUGGCUGACCGUCAGGCGAUGGGGGCGCUUGCAGCUUGGAAGUGCAGUAGCAAGGGACAAAUAGGUUAUUUUGCUAGGGAGAUUGGAGGAAGCACGCGCACCACAGAAACAGGCGGAACAUAAUGAUGGAAGGGGUGCAUCGGGGCCCCGAGGGGCAGGCGUUCAGCAGGAGAGUUGGUUUGGAUGCCAGAAUGUCGUUGGUCGUACGUGUUUGUGAUGGACGUUCUAGCAGGUUUUGAAACCUGCUGUUGUUAAUCUCAUUGUAAGACGUAGGCAUGAGGUCUGGCUUGCAUAUGUCGCUUCAACUGAAAGGGUUACGGUAACGACGCACACGAUGUCGACCACAUUUCUCAGCAAUAGAAGCGAGCUUUCAAUUCGUGCCGCCCCACAAUGCCAUAGUAGACGCGUGCACGCACGGCACUGCUAUUUCGUCUGUAGCUAUCAGAAUUUAAAUCCGAAUCCGCUGACUGUUGUCACCGUCACAGCCCUCGGUAGCACUGGACAACGACGCUCUAGAUGCAGAUUCACAUGCCAAGCUUCAGGCAGAAAAAUCGAUAGUGUUUCGACGGAAAUGCGAGAGUUUGGGUGAGGCUCGCCCCUUUCGUGUCAGCUUUACUUGCAGCCUGCGGCCAUUGCAACUUUCCGCAGAUUGAGUUGCCGACCAAAAGCAAAUCCACUAUUAACAACACGUCAUGAUUGAGCCCUAUUGAUUGUCUAUCCUAGUCCUACAAAGCCCUUGAGGUGCCCCAUUGGUCGCAUGAGACUACCAUGACCAUGUGCAUUUGCUGUGGCGGAAAACUCUCUCUUCUCCUUUGCUCCAUUGCUGAGUUUCGUCCCUUAAUGACUGCUCCGCCCUGCCACUGCGUUGCAAUCCUCAAGACACCCACGCUGGGCGCUUUAGAAUCGCAGUUGUAGCUCUCCAAAUAUAAUUAGAACCGCCCGCUCUUGAGCAAUCCCGCUCCGCUCUCGCACUUCCCCCGCCAGAUGCAAGGGACUCUAGGUGUUGUGCUGCCUACUCGCGCCACCUUUUCCGCGUGUCCCACCCCUCUCCCUCUUUCCCACCAUCACACCGCUUGUCCAUCGACCACUCGCUCCCACCCACCCUGCCGUCCCCACCUAACUUCGCACCUGCUCCUCCGUUUUUUUUAUCUUCUCCCCAAGCUUCGCCAAAGACUUCGACGAACGGUAUACCCUGGGCGGAAAGAUUGGCUCCGGAACCUUCGGCACCGUUUACCUAGCCACGGAGAAAGCGACCGGCCAGGAGUAAGAGAGUGUGUGCAUGUGUGUGUGUGCGUGUCUUAGGGAGUGGCGCGCUGAUAAGGAUGUACAAGUAGCGAUUACGGGAGGGUUUAUGUAUGUAUGUAUAACGUGGAUUGGCGCCACAACUCGGUUCCUGGUCAGCUCGCAAGUUGAUGUAAUCACGUCCCACACCGUCCACAAGAUGGCGGGCCACCUCCCAUUUCAACACCGAGGGGUCACACACCGAGGGGUCGGCAGGCGGAUUUCGGCCAUUAUUUCUGCCAGCCACCAUACGUAUGUAUGUAUGCAUGUAUGUAUGUAUGAUUUAGGUUACACGGUCGGCUGGUAAAGCCGGGGGCCGAAGCCGAAACACAGCGCAAGGGUCGGGGGCACCCGCAGCACACCCCAGACUCAGGCUGCAAAACAGAGGUGCAAGGUCGAUUUCCGGCUGCCGCACAUACUUGAAACGUGUACGAAGUCCCCAGGGCGCAGAUCCUAUACCGCACCUGAAAGAACCUCCAGCACCCGCAAACCGCCUGAAAACCACCCUAACUCCCAACUCCCACCCGAACCCCGAUGAACCCCUUACCCCCAACUUCUCUAUCUAUCUCCCUCUCACAUACAUACAUACAUACAUACAUACAUACAUACAUACAUACAUACAUACAUACAUACAUACAUACACAUACGCGUACUGCAGGGUGGCAGUCAAGGUGAUCACGAAGCGCAUUCUGGGGGGUUACCUGGAGAGGCAGUUCGUGAGGCGGGUGCAGCACGAGGUAGGCGUAUGUCUGUCAGUAUGUAUAUAUGUAUGAAUAUAUGUGCGUGUGUGUGGUAGGGGGAAAACGGUGGGGGAAGCAGCGGGAGGAACCCAGCCGCGGAUGGGAGGGGGGACGGCGGGAAGAGAAGAAGAGCAUCUGAUGGGGGGUGGGGUGGGGGGAAGGGGGAGGNNNNNNNNNNNNNNNNNNNNNNNNNNNNNNNNNNNNNNNNNNNNNNNNNNAGGGGGGGGGGGGGGGGGAAAACAGCAAAAUGGAUCCAUGCACCGCUCCUUUCGCCGAGGCACACUCUGUGCCCUGCCAUCACCUCACCCGCCAAGGAUUCCGAAAACACCUCCAAAAACACACACAUACAUACAUGCGUACAUGCAUACACACAUGAAGAAGCUGCUCCUGUUAGCCGUCUCAUCCCCCAUCGCCAUUUCCUUGUCGCGGCUAAGUUCACAAAACACACAUUCGUAAGCAGUCGUACACGCACGUGCGUGUGUGUGCGUUCGUGUCGCAGGUGGAUAUUUACAACCACGUGGGUCGCUCACUCAAUGUGGCGUACCUGUACGGCGCGUACGAGAACACCGUACAUGUACAGCUCGUGAUGGAGCUGUGCAAGGGUGAGCUGCCAUGAGGGGUGAAGGGGGGGUUGGGGCAUAUGCACAUAGUAGAGGGGGGGAGGGUGAAGGGUGAGGGUAGCUGAGAAUGGAUAUAGCCCGAUGAAGUGAUUACCCACCGCCGGCAUCCAACGGAAACUUCCAGAUCAACGGCGGCUCAAGUCCAUUCCUGGUCAGCUGUCAAGUCAACUCAGGGUUUAUCCCAGGUCACCACCGUCCAUCGAUUAGGGGCACUUUACCUUCCACCAUCGCAUGGAACUUUCGACUCUGACAGGUUUCGAUCCGGGAACAUCCGGGGGCAACAGUGUGUGCUUUACCAGUAGUGCCUGACCCUGUAACUGUAACUGUAUAUGUAUGUAUAUCAGGCGGGGAGCUGUGGACCCGGGUUCAGCGAGGAAAGUACGACGAAGCAGCUGCGGCGGCAAUUGUACGGGAGAUCUUGUGCACCCUGGCGCAAUGUCAUGCUAAAGGUCGGGGUGGGGGGGGGGAAGGGAAAAUGUGGAGCGGGCCCAUUUUUGUCGCUGUUCAUUUUUUGCCUUCCUUUCGAUCACGUAUGUAUGUAUGUAUGUAUGUAUGUAUGUAUGUAUGCUACGUAUUUAUACUUGUACACAGCCGUACACUCGCCGCUGCCUCAGCCGCAUCCGAGGAACCUUUUCAUUCUUUCUUUCUCCGUACAGCUCGUGGGUAUAUCCCGAACCGUCUCAUCACACACAUACGCACACGUACACAUACAUACACAUACAUACAUAUAUCUGAUUCCGCUCCACUGCGGCGUCGAACAUCGACAGACGAUCCGUGUUUCGUGUUUCUUGCAUCUUGGUGCCGGAUCCGGCCCCUCCUGUACACCCGCCCGCCUGCGAAUGAGCGCCUUCGAAACAUACCCACCCCACCACCACACACAACCCCCACACACCCAAACACAUUCCACACACAUACACACCCAAACACAUUUCGCCUUUCCCCCCCCGCUUUUCCCCCCCUCUAACCCCCCAACAGGUAUAGUCCUCCGGGAUGUGAAACCCGAGAACUUCCUCUUCCUGACACCCGCCCCGGACUCCCCACUUAAAAUGAUCGACUUCGGGCUGGCCACGUACUGCAAGUACGGCAGGAUCCAGGGCGAGCGUAGAGGGGUCGAACACGGGCGAAUAAACACAAAUUCCGUUCCUUGCGCAAUUGCGCGCGUACAUGCAUACGUUCGUACAACACCACCGCAUGGCAUUCGUACGGCACACAUCACACGUGUUGUGUACGGCAGAGUCGAAUUCGAUACACGUGUGUUUUCUGUACAGCCUGGCCAAGGCCGUCCGCUGACCUGGCUCAUUCAAGGGGGAUCUUUUACGGAUUACCGCUUUCAAGCCCUUCCUUCCAAUCCAACCACCACUUCAUUUUCAGCACACACACACCCCGCCGGGGCCCCCAGGGUAUCCGUCGAGGGGAGGGGAGGAGGGGGAGUUGGUGGCUCCCCCCCUCCCUUCCCGGCCCCUAGUGGUGACGGCAGCUCAUUCCGUGUUUCCUUGCAGCAUAUCAUUCUCAUCCUUCCUUUCCUUUCUUUUCUUUGUGCCCUCCAACCUGCCACUUCACUUCACUUCCCGCUCUGGCUCCCGCUACCCGGCCCCCUCCCGCUUCCCGCCGUAACCCACUUCUUUUCCCAAUACUGACUUGGCGACAUGUAAUCCUCCGGGCCCCCCCCCCCGCGGCUCCUCCUCCUUCCCAACAUUUCCUCAGACCUGGCCAGUUGCUGAGUGAUAGGGCUGGCUCCCCUCUUUACGUGGCGCCAGGUAGAGGCAUGGAGGAGGGGCAUGAGGGCGGGGAGGGAAGGGCAGGGAAGAGCGACUGCUACUGCUGAUGCUAGUGCUUUUUGCUACAACCGACCUUUUGGCUCUUUACUUCUUGCCGCCCUUUCCCCCAGCCUCCCAACCCCCCAAACCCGCACCCUAAGGAACAUACACACACAACCCCCCCCUCACCCGCCCUCCUGCUCGUAGAGGUCCUCAAGCAGUCGUACGGCCAACCGUGUGACGUGUGGAGCGCCGGUGGGUGCCCCAGGGGGCGGCGGAGGCCCUAGGGGACGGGACUGGGGUGGUCCGGCGUCUGGAGGCAGAGUGUAUAUGACUCUUGCUUUCCUGCGAUGAUGAUGAUGGUGGUGGUGGUCGUGGUGGUCGUUUGGGAUUUUGAGGCUGCGUUCUGGCGUUUCCAAUUUUGCCAUUGCCAUUGCCAUUGAAUCCCCCCCUAGGGGGGGAUUCUGUAAACUAUUUCAGGCAAACCGUGUUUCAGCUAAUUGCGAUGCUUGGGUGUCGUAUUGUGCUGCCGUACUGUGUUCAUGUCGUGAAAUUUCCGCUCCGGCAAGUUCCCGCUUAUCCAUUUUCCCCCCCUCUGUGUGUUCCCCCCUGCUCCCCCCCCCGGGAACCCCCGGCCUCCCCCAGUUGUGAUCGCCUACCAGCUGCUCACGGGUCGAUUCCCUUUCGAGGACGAGGACCAGGGGCUGCUGUUGAGCUCCCUGAACGUGCUGGGGAAGAGACACUUCACCAAUAAGGAGGUCGGGGGGGCGGGGGGGCAGGGGGCCGGGGGGGGGCUUGUUUGCUUGCGUGUGUGUGUAUGGGGGGGUUGUUUGGGGGGUUCAUAUUUUUGAAAAUAAAAGGUCGCGGAUGGGGCUGAAAGGGGUUUGGGGGGGGGUUGGCCUCUGGGUGCAGGCGGAGAUGGGGUUGGGGUUGGGGGGAAGAGAUAGUAGGGGUCGGAUGGGGUGGGGUGGGGUGGGGUAGGGUGGGGUGAAGGGUGUGGUGAAGGGUGGGAGUGUGCGGUGGGUUGAAAAGGUGUUUGGGUAUGUGAUGGAGGAGGAGGUGGGCGCUACGGCGGCAAGUGCUGUCUCCCGAGACUGUAAUUUGGUGACCGUGAGAACUGUUGGCAGCGGUUGGUGGCGGUUGGCAGCGGUUGGUAUCGCUAACAGCGGUAAUGGUCAUGAUGGUGGUGGUGGUGGUGGUGUGUGCUUCAAUAAAUUGUGUAUGUGUGUUUCGAUACUCUGCCUCUCCGUACCCCCAAUACCCCUCCCCUCCCCGCGCCCCCGCCCGUCCCCUCCCGGCCCUGGACCCCGAUCCCACCCAACCCCCCAGGUGUUUUUCGCCAUCCUGUACGGCGAUCUGGAUUUCAGCCGACCGCCAUGGGACGAGAUCAGUCCUCUUGCCAAGGGCUUCGUGUCGUCAUUGCUGCAGGUGGUGGUGUGGCGGUGGUGGUGCGGGGGGGGCUGUUCUUAAGUUCUUGGGAAUGGGCGGUGUGUUGUUUUCCGGAAGGAAGGGUUAUUGCUUGGGGGCGGAGGCCCCGCAAAGUCAAGAAAGAGGGGAAAACGGCAAUUGCAGCUGAGGAGUACGAAGUUGGCAAACGGCCCUUCACGCCACCCCACCCUACCCCCCAGGAGGGGAGGGAGGAGGAGGAGGAAUGGAAAUGGUUUCCCUUCCUGUUGGGAUUCCUGUUGUGACGAUGUGGGAUGCGCCCUCUUUUCCGCCCCCCCCAUCGGGACACGACACCUCCACGACCCCAAUCAACAACACAACCCCACAUCGAAUCGGGCUGUUGGCGUUGUGUCCCACCACUUUCCCCCUCCACUCCCCCCCUCCACUCCCGCCGGGGGCUCCAUGGAAAAUACACACAUACGCGUUCCUCCCCUCCCCGGCUGUAGCGGGAUCCUGCCGUACGGCCCACUACUGUGGAGGCACUACACCACCCCUGGCUGCAGCAGUACGACACAGCGGCGACGACUAGCGGCAGUAGCAGUAGCAGCAACGGCAGCAGUGUUAAUAGCGGCAGUAGCAGUGGCAGUAGUGGUAUCAGCAACCAGCCGCUGAGCGAUUCUCUGGUGCAACGACUACAGCGGUACGGCACGUACGGCAGGUUGAAGCAGCUGGCUCUGCGGUAAGAGUCUUUCUUUAUUGUGGCUUUUGAAGCUGUGAGAGUCCGUUAGCGCAAAACCCAAAAAGCCCCAAAAGAGGAUUAUGUUACUGCAUUUGUAUGUUUGUAUGUAUGUAUCUCUCCCGGCCGCGCACAUCUCCGAACCGGCACGUGUGUGUUUCGCGCACUUGUUUUCCCCCGGGCCCCAGGUGGGGCCUCCACAGUCUGUGUCCCACCUGUGUGUGUUUUUGUGUGUUUUUGUGUGUUUUUGUGUGUGUACGUGUGUGUAUCUGUCUAUCUGUAUGUGUGCGUUGGAGGGCUGCGCAACAUCGCCCGUCCAACCCUUGUGUCAGCCCGAGGCGUCUUCAGACGUUGUUUCCGUUGUUUCCGUUGUUUCCGUUGUUGUUGUGCGUCGCGACCCCCUCCUUUUGGUGCUACUGCUCACCGGCUGGUGGAGCGCCUAUCCAGCUCGUUUCCGUACAAAGUUCUCUCUCUCUAUUAUGAUGAUCGGCGUGAUGAUGAUGCGUACGACAAGGAUGCGAGGGUGGAAAAUGCAGCGGCACUACCACCUGACAUCACCACCACGAUAAUAUCACCCACCAUACCAUACCCAUCAACCUCUGCCAAUGCUAUGGUAUUGCUGUUGUUGCUGCUGUUGAAGACGAUUGCAAAGAGUCCGGUAACAUCAAACUGCCCAUACGCAUGUAUGCAUGUAGUCACACAUGCUCACCGAUUCCCAACUUUCGUUGUUGGCAUCCACAUACAUACGUGCGGUCGGCAUCAUGAUCUUGCCCUGCAUGGCUGAACAAACCAACAAACCCACUUAAUCCAACCCAACGCAACCCGCCAAUGUACGGCGCAGUGCUGUCGUAAGCUUUAUGGCGACCAGUGAUCACGCGCGUGUGGCCUCCCUGGAGGCGGCAUUCCGACAGCUGGAUCCAGGGGGCGCGGGACGAGUGCCGUACGAGGCGGUUGCGGCCAUGCUGGGGGGCGAGGACUGGGACCUGAGUCCCACGGGUGGGGUGUACGGCGUGAUAUACGGCGGGGAGGGCGGGGACUGGGGCGGGGAGGAGGUGGAGGAGGAGGGUUUGGAGUUCUCGGGAAACGCGGGUGGGUGGGCCGGGGGGAAAAAGAGGAGAACAGGUUCUGAUGGUGGUGAUCAUUGCCGUUAAAGGAGGAGACCUAUUGGGCAGGAGGGAUUGGGAUUGGGGUUUGGGUUUUUUUCAAGACAGUGUGGGGCCAGGUGACCUCUCGUGCAAGUGGAGAUGCUGCAUGUGUGUGUAUCAGUGGACCUCUCCCCCCUCACACACGCCACACACCGCCACCAAGUGGCCAGCAGCAGCGGCAGCAGCAACCCCCAACCAACCUCUUUCCCCCAACCCCCUUUCUCGCUCCCUCCCGCUUGCAUCCCCUCCCCCCUUCCUCCCAAUCCUCCUCCUCCCACUCCUCCCCGCCCCAGUCCACGCCCUCACCGCCGUAUAUCACGCCGUACANNNNNNNNNNNNNNNNNNNNNNNNNNNNNNNNNNNNNNNNNNNNNNNNNNNNNNNNNNNNNNNNNNNNNNNNNNNNNNNNNNNNNNNNNNNNNNNNNNNNNNNNNNNNNNNNNNNNNNNNNNNNNNNNNNNNNNNNNNNNNNNNNNNNNNNNNNNNNNNNNNNNNNNNNNNNNNNNNNNNNNNNNNNNNNNNNNNNNNNNNNNNNNNNNNNNNNNNNNNNNNNNNNNNNNNNNNNNNNNNNNNNNNNNNAGGGAGGGAGNGAAAGGGGGGGGAAAAGGGAGGGACGGGGGGCGGAGGGCGUUCGGGUGAUGACGGGGCCCAUGACGGGGGCGCCCCCGGCAUCCCCUGGCCACGCCUCACCCCUCUAUAAUGUGUGUAUAUAUAUAUACACAUAUACAUACUGCUGUACAUGCCCAAUAUGUGUACCACUAUAUAUACCACAAAUGUACACACGCACACACACACACACACACACUCUCUCUCUCUCUCUCUCUCUCUCUCGCGCGCGCGCGCGCGCAGGUUCAGGAAUCCUCGGAGUGGCAGAGCUACGUCAACAGGGUGUUCGACGUGUUUGACUCCGGGCACACCGGCAGCCUCUCCCGCGACAACCUGCAGCGCGUGCUGUGCAGCCACAGCCACAACAGCCUCAACCACCACAACCACCACUACCUGGAAAGCAACAAGAACAACGGUGAUGGUGAUCACAAUUCGGAUCCGGAUUUUGAGGGGGAUUUGGAUUUGGAUGAGUGUCCUUUCGAUGACGUGGUUCCGGCAGCUCUGCGGGAGGCUGAUGAGGACGCCGACGGACGAAUAUCCCGAGAGGAAUUUGGGCGGCUGCUGGCGACGGCACCCGGGGACGAGCUGGAGCUGUACGAGAGCCGGCGGCGACGCCGCCGUGGCGGCGAUGGCAGCGAUGGCGGCGGCAGCGAUGGCGGCGGCAGCGGCAGCGGCAGCGGCAGCGAAGAAGCGUCUGGCUCGGAUUGAUGAUGGUGGUCGGGCGGUCGGGUUUGGUUGGAAAUGUGUGUAGGAACUCUUUUGUGCAAUUUUGGGGUGCUUGGGACCGGGGGUGAUCGCGACCCCGACUGAUGGGGGUGGGCAGGUCGUUAGGCCUGACAGGGGGCAAUAGUGAACCAUACAAACAUAGCCAUUGCAUGGGUGACCCGCGCAGAUUCUGUUUAGUGGUUGGGGGUGAAUCAGCUAGGCGGGUAGUUAGUUGGUUAGUUGUUAGAAAGGUAGAUCGCGAUUGGGAAGGGCCAUUCAGAAGCACCAGUAGCAAGAGCAGGAGGGGCAAGGUGGGGAGAGAGGGGGAGGCGAUCUGUUAAAGGAGGUAAACCGGCCCAGGGGGCUUUGGCAAGUAGGUAAGGUCGUUAGGCUAGGGUUUGUUUACGAAUAACCAGGUCGGUGCACAGCUUUCCGGGUUAUUGCUGGGAAAUAACUUUAUUUUUGAAGCCUUUCAUCGCGUCAUAUAUGGAUUUGUUGCGGCAAGAGCCUACGUAAAUGGUUGGAUGGAUGGACGGAAACUCGUACGAUUCGGACGAACCUGAAGGCUCAUGAACCACUUCAAUCGCGCAAAAGUAAAUAUUAUAAAUCAAAGCCCGCGUAACCAGAAGGACGCCCGUCUGGGUUGCGUACGAUAUGCUCUUCCGCGUUGCGGAGGCGGGCGCGCAGCCAGAGCCCUGAAAGGGCGAAAGCGUCUAUUAGUAAUGGUGGGGUUAUCUGCCGGUCGUAAGAUCAUCUCGUUAUACAAGCUGAAGGAUUGUCUGUGGCAGGUACUAGUUCGUUGGGUGGCGUGGCGACGAUGCGCCACCAAAGUGCGCCUCGUACAAGAGAUGAUCCCAUCGUUUACCGGAUUUGAAAUGUUUGUUGUUGGUCGUGUGGCUGCUUGAGAUGCACGAGAAUGCGCUUGUUAUUAAGUUCUAAACCAUCCUUUGCAUAAGUUCCUUGUUCCUCCUACAUUUUGUACGUAAGCACGCUUUUUAGGUCUACAUCCGCUUGGCGUAUGCAUACAACAAUAACAGCUGUUAUAAUUCGGGGAAAUAAUACAGUUGGAAUUUUUUGUGGGCUUAAACAUCACGGCGAUAACAUGACUUAGGUUGAGCAAAAAGCAACGCGCAUUGCACGCCGGUUCACAACUUACCUUAGCUAGGCGCUUAAGCAGGGUUACGUUUGCGCAACAUAAUGGCGCCAUGGCUGGUGACUGCGAUACAGAAUGGAGAUUUGCAGGUGCGAUGGGACUUCAAAAUUUGACAGUCCCCCAGAACUGAGUGCCACAGCGGCCCCAUCACAAAGUGAAUCUGGUUAUAGCGAGAGAAUCUAUGCAGACAUAAAUGCUGUGCGGUGCGAGUCCAGGCAGCUGGCCCCUUACGCAUACGCUAUCGCAACUCCUCGCAACUCCUCGCAACUCUUCACCACUUUCCGCCGAUUCAGCACAUUUCCCAAGCAUAUGCCCUAACUUGCUCUGGGUUCUUGCUACUAUUCAAUCCAUUCCAUUUCCCAUACGGCAAUCAAAGCAAACCGUAGCAUGCGCAUUUGCCUUCCACUCUCUCGCAGGAUCGCCGGCUGCCACUACGCACAGCCGAACAGGUUCUUCAAACCGCCAGAGAAAAUCUCACGGGAAAUAAGCUCACCGCACUUGCCAGCGUCCACAAGUCAGCUUACCGGCAAGUGGGCAUGGCCCGGCUGCAAUACGGAGGUGGCGAUUACGAGACCAACGCCAUAGCGUUCCAAAGGCUCCCGGAUGAUGUGAUCCCGGCAGGGCCGCUUUUUUCGGUUUGCAAAGUGGUCGACACCACGAGGACUUUGUCGCGAGUCGUACUCAUCAAACGGCGCACGACGAAGAGCGCCUUUGUGGGGUACGACGACGGCGACGGCGAUUACGGCGACGGCGACGACGGCAGGUUACUUCAUGACGAUGACGUCAAUGAUGAUGAUGAUGGCGAUGAUGAUGAUGAUCUUCACAUGGGCCGCGUCACAGGCGGGAGAAGGAGAGGAGGGCGAUGCUUUGCCGCCAGUAGAAGUGGCGGAGGAGGGGCUCUGAGAGCCAAUCUGCUGCCGCGCUUCCCCUCCUCACAGCUCCUCCUUCAGCCCCAGCUCAGUGAGCCGCUGCCGCCGCCGCGACCUACUCCCCAGCCGCUGCCGCCGCUCCCGCCGCCGCCGCCGCCGCCGCCGCUGCUGCUUCAUGUAAGCGAUGAUGACGUCGACGGUGAGGAAACAGCCGGCGCGCCAAAGCGUCUCACGCCCAGACGUCUCGGGUCACCCUCCUUCUCCUCCCUGACCUCUUCGCCCCAGUACGUGCCAAAAGCGCAAAACUGGAACCACCGUCUUCAGUACCAGCAUCGCCGGUUGCACGACAGGGACCAAGAAGGCCGAUUCUCAAGCUCGGGCCCAGGCAUGGAUGCGCCUGGCGUGGUGACCACCCCUCAGGGGAAUCCCUUGGUAUCCCUUGGAGCCAUUGGAGAUGCUGAGGGAAACACUGUCGCCUGUAGCAACAGCAGCGGCAGCAGCAGCAGCUUCAGCGUCGGCAGCAGCACUUUGAUGCAUCCCGCACCCGCGCCACAACAGCAAAAGCAGCAACAGCACGCGCGCCGCAGCAGCGCGCUUUUGCCGUCUACCUCUGAAAGCUUCCUGAGCCCCAGCUCCUCUGUCCUGAUGGGCGACCCUGGUCCCCAGGCCCCCUGGUGUGUCCGCUCGGUGGGGGACGGCGCCAGUAUGGAGCGAGUCAACCGGUUGUUGGGCGACCUGAGGAGGGUUGCGGGCGGCAAUCGAAAGUUGGAUGUCGCCACGUGCAUCCCCCGCGGCGGCGGCGGCGGCGGCGGCGGCAGCCGCUCAAGGAGCAGCAGUAGCAGCACAACGCAGAUGCACCUCCGGACGCCAGCGGCGACUUGUGACGGCGUUGGAAGCAGUAGCAGUAGUAGUGGCGGCGGAGGCGGAGGCGGCAGCGGUAGUGGCGGCGGCGGCGCCAGUGGCAGCAACUCCGCUAUCCGCAGCACAUUCCGUUCUUCUGCAACGACAACCGUUGGUACGACACCCGUCGUCGCCGCCGGGGGCACUCUCCGCGAUGGGUGGACCAGUAAGAAAAUGAGCCCUUCUACUGCAGUACGGCAGACUAUGACGAUCAGCAACUCUGCAGUCACGGCCGCCACGGGGUCGCACCGUCGCGAAGUGGACGCGGUGCCGCCGGCUGGACGCGCGGUGGCGAUAAGCUUCAGUGCUGGGAGUACGGCACCGGUGGCGGCUGCUGCGGCGGCGACGGCUGAUCAGUAUGGUGAUGUUGAUGGGGAUGAGGAUGAGAAGAACAAAGACUGGCGCCGUGGCGUCGUUACUUUCCCGCCAGAGUUUGCAGGGGUCUGCUUACCAACUAACCGCCAGCCCCGACGGGCCCAAAGCAGCUUUUUAACUUGAUAGGCGCCGCUGACUGGCACUGCUGUCCCGCUACAGCUACACUGGCGGCGGACACACUAGCGCUGCUGCUGGUCCUGAUGGCUGCUGUCGCUGCAACGAUCUCGCUGCCACAACGUACAUGCAUACAUGCAUACAUACAUAUGUACAUUGAUGGCAGGUUAUGACGCCGUUGUCGCCGUCGCCGCCGUCGCCGCCGCGUCGGCAAUGGCUUUCCUUGGUGCUGGUGUGUGUGUGUGUGUGGGUGAUAUGUGGUUGCAAUAAGCCAUGGCUGUUGCAGUUUCUGCAGGCAGGUUGGUCGGGCCCCCUGCUCAGCAUCGUAGGGUCUAUAUCUCUAUUAGGACUUUAUUAUUAGGGGUUGUAAGGGGUUCUAACAUGCCGUAUAUAUAUACAUAUAUAUACACGCGGCAGGCAGGGAGGUUUAUUUAGGGUCCAUUUCUUGUUUAAGCUACAAACUACAAAGCCAGAGCUUGACCCAGGAGGAGGAGGAAGCGCAUCGAGUGCCAAGAGAUGACAUCGAGAUGGAGUUUCUGCACCGAUGACCNNNNNNNNNNNNNNNNNNNNNNNNNNNNNNNNNNNNNNNNNNNNNNNNNNGGAUGCGCAUGCCAUGCCGUGCCGUUCUAUAUUUCGCUUUUCUCAAUCAUUUUAUGCUGCUUCAUCUAAUGCCAUAUCGUAUUAAUAAUCGGCACAACAAAGUUACGAACAGUGGUAUUUUUUUGAGUAUUGAUAUUGACUAUUUCCUCGGGGUGUAUACGGACGGCGUAGCAAGUACGGCGAUCCAUCCUGUCCUGCGGGGAAAUGCGCAGUAAUAUGCGGUAAGGUAAUGCGUUGCUAUUAUCUGUAUCGCCGUGGUUAACGUGCGCCGAUGAGAUAUUGCGGUAGUUAUAAGCGGCACGAAUAAGUUGAACUGACAAAUUAGCAAGCAGCCUGCUGCGAAUGGACCCCUUUCCGGAGCCGGUGUGUGUGUGGGGGGGUAGGUUGUUACAGUGGGCUCCAGACUCACGAAGAGUAGAGCCAGCGGUGUGCGGUGUCGAAGUGGCCAAUUGGCAGCGUGCUUGAACAACUCCAAUGGGGAGAUGCCUCUGUGUUGCUGCUUUUCAGCGACAAUCUCUCUUGUCAUCACCUAUGGAUUGGUUUGCUAAAUUGUAUUUGGGUACGCCACUAACCGCCGCAACGGCGGGUGGCUUGGCGGGCCCGGGGGGGGGGGAGGGGUAAUGAAACUGACAGAAGCGAAGCUGACCGGCGAGGAACCAACCGUCACAUGCAUCUGAAGUACUUUGUUUCUUUACACAUUCAUGGAUGGAUGGAUGGAUGGAUGGAUGGAUGGGUGUAUGUAUGGAUGGGUGUAUGGAUGGGUGUUCAAAGUAAAGCUACAGCCUGCCGGCGGCAGCCACAGAAGGCUGUAGCUUACUGAAGAUUUGGAUGAACUGAUGGCCGUUUAUCCUCCAUCCAGUGCAUCAUCGCUUCGGCUCAGUGCUUAUGAAUGCAUACAGAUGUGCACAGAGAUGUGCGGGUGGGUUUUGUUGUGCAGAUGUUGGUGGUGGUGUUAGGGGGUUGAGGGGAAAGAGAACGGGGGACGAAGCAAGUGAAACACAACAAGGGAAUUACACCUCUACGCGAGAGGAGAGACACUUGCGAAGAGAGGAGGAGAAGCAGGACGAGGAGGAUUAGAGCUGUGUGAUUUCGUUGACAGGUUCGUGGUAAUGGUAAUGGUGAUGGUGAUGGUGAUGCCUUACGAGGGUACCUGUAAACGCAAUGAGGGUUGUUCACUUGUUCCCUUGCUCUUCCCUGCUCUGUUCUGUUCGCCAUGUAGCCAUUACCUGACCACGCUUCGCCAACAAUGGCGUCCCCGGAAAGAAAAAAUCAUGGCGCAAAUUAAUCUUUUUAGCAUGGUUGGAGUAUUUUCUGUCGGCAUGCGCUAACACUGUUACGGCAGCCGCCUUUCACGUUCCUCUUGCCAGCAGCAUGUCUGCGUUUGUCGACAUGGAGAACGGAAAGCAAGAGGAGCACACGAUCACUUCAAUCUUGCAUAUAAAAAAUGGCUCUGAUUCGUAGCAUCCUGUACAGUUCGUGAAGCAGGAUAAAUUAAAUCACGUGCAUGCAUCGCGGUAUCGCGGCAUAAGAAGCAUAGAUGGACCUUUACAGCAGUAUGGUAAGACACCUUCCGAUAAAUUAAUACCCAGAUAUGAACUGGUUACUAGGCAUCUAAGAAGUUCCUUUGACGUCUUCGACCACGUCGUCUUGUUAUGACACCUUUUACGUACGUGCCUACCGACGGCCGGCGGGCCACCAUAGCCAGCUCUAAAGUCGUCACAGUAACCCUCAUGUGGUCAGUUACUGCCUUAUAGAACGGAGCCGUUUUGAUUUGGAGGAGUACAUAUUACGUGAGCUUCAAAAUGCGCGUAACCUUCCGGUUUCCGCACAUUAGUAGAUGCGUACGAGCACCACACCAUUUCAUGACAAACAACAUGAGGUCACGAAACUAAGAUCCUAUACAAGUUUGCGAUGAUUCAUUUUUCUUACAUAAUGUUGAAAGGUCACCAUAUACCUGAGUUCAGAGCUCAAACAAGCCCUAAAAUCGUAUGCGCACGUACCUCUGAGAUAUUACACGCUGGCGUAAUUAGGUCUGUACCAUGGUGCCAUGGUCCAUAUGGUCAGUUCGAAAUGGCGAUGUGCAGGUAUGAACCAUCGCCUUCCAGUACCCUGCUUGUCUCUGGAAGCCAGAGGCCAUGCAUCCGAAAUAAUAUAUUUCAGAGACUAUAAGCUAUUUAUACUUCAAAUUUUUAUUUUAUGCGGCUGGGUACAUCGCCACCGUCAUGGCGGUCCUGAUGCAAUUUCAACGAGUCCACGGUGCUUACCUCGCCACUGCAAAUUAUACGCCGUCUAAGAAGCAAUCAUGCUACUAUGGACCCACAUUAAAGUCUCAUUUUCCGUUCGCGUAAAUGCCUCCUUCUGGGUGCCCACCCUCAUCACGACUCACCUUCGCAGGAGCCGUCCCCGCUCCCAGUCAAGCCCCCAGCUCCAGAGAAAAUUUUAAAUGAAGCCUGGUCAAGACACGCUGACUCGAAGUCCAACGUUGGCAGCAAGCCUCGCAAACCUGCCGCGUACCGACCGCAUGUCGGACUGUCUAGGUUUCAAUAUGGCGACGGCGAGUACCUGGCCAGCGUUGCAAACUUUCAGCAGUACCAUGAACCCAUUAAAUCAGAAAUCGAACCUUUGCCUGAAAUGCUGGAGCUCGUGCAGACGACUCGGACGAUGGCGCGCACAGCGCGAGCCGGCUUUGCCGCGGGCAGCGGCGGUGGCGGCAGCAAACCCCCGAGCCUCGAAUCACUUCGUCGCCGCCACUCAGCAUGCGAUCGUCAUAUCUCGCGGAUCCAAGCAUCCGAUUCGGGCGAGGGCGGUGAGGAUGAGGAGGCCGACGUCGAGGAGUUCGGUAUGAAAUCCGACGGCGCCGACGAUAGCGGCCGAGCGACGGCAGCGUCGACAGGCAGCAGCGAUACGGACGAUUCCGACUGCGGUGCUGGCCGCAGAUACGGCAGACCGGCGGCCGCCGCGGCGGUGCCCAUUCGCGCCACUCGUCGCCGCCAAUCCACGCCCACAAACUUGGGUAUCCCUGGGCUGGAAAACCACUCCCGACCUGCCGUACUGCCCGCACGACUCAGCUCCGUCGAGUCUAUCCCCGUACAAAACGAGUACGUCAGCGGGGCCGGUGCCGCUGACGAUGCCAGCACUGAGCCCAGCGCCCGCCAGGGAGUGCUAUCCCCCCUGGAGCCCACCGCUCCUGGCCGCCGCCGCAGCAGCAGCGGCGUGUCUGGCAGCGGCGCCGCCGCCUUAUCUGUUUCCCGGGCCGCCGCCGCCGCCCGACGCAGCGCCCUUUGCGCCACCCCCACUGCCGCGGAAGCGCCCAACGCUUCCGCUGGUGCCGCUGGCGCGGCCGCCACCCCAGCCUUCACCUCGCCGACCCAUGAUACGCAUCCAACCCCCGCCGUCGCCGACGUCGUACAGCUGGAUCGCGUCAGCCAGAUGCUGCACGACCUCCGUCGGGCCAAAUGCCAUGAGCCCAGUACGGCAACCUCAACCUCAACCUCAGCCGCUGUGGGCCCCCUAGGUAGCAACACACGUCAGCCGUCGCGAAAGCAACGCAGCGGAGCCGCCACUGGACCGAACGAGACGUCCAACGGGGCUGCCAGCGCCAGCGGCGGCGUCAGCGGCGGAAUGCGGGAUCGGCGCCGCAACGGCGUCAGGCAAGGCGGCGCCACUGGCACCGGCGACGCCUCGUUUGAUUCUGGUCCGCGGCCCUUCGCCGCUACCACCAUCACCACCACCACCGCCACCACUGCAGCUACAAGCAGACGGGAGUCACGUACAAACUUGACCUCGCUGUCGCAAUCCCAGUUACAACACCAACAGCUCUCUCUUCCGCUGACUUCGGUUUCGACGUCUGGGGAAGCGGCGGCAGCGGUGCCGCCGCCGUCGCUGCAGCAGCAACGGACUCGGCGAGUCGGCUCUGAGUACUGGAACUCCGAAACCAGCUUGUUAGAUUUUACGGAAGAUGACUUGACUUCCUCCAUGGCAACGGGAACGGCGGCGGCGGCGGCGACGACGACGACGACAGUGCGAAGUGGCGGCUGUGCACGGUACCCGUCAUCGUCGGGAGCGGCGGCGGAACCGCCUCCUCCCCCUCCUCCUCCUCCUCAUCCGAGCUCCUGCUGGCCAUCGCGCAUGCCGCCGUUAAUGUCGGCAGUAGCGGGCGAGCUUGCUGACGCCGCUAUGGACGCCGCCACCGCCGCUGUAGCGGGGCCCGCGACGGCAAAGGCGGUGGCGGUGAUGGCGACGGCGGCGCCGGCCGCUAGAUCCCCAGUGGUGCCCUUCCGCAGCAGGUCACAAGCCACCGUCAAUUUACACCAGUCCUACAACCAGCAGCCGCGGCCGCAGCAGCAGUCACCGCCGCCAGCGCCGCGUGUGUCCGGCGGCGCUCCGCUAGGCGGAUGGACGUGUAGACAGUCGAUGCAACGCAACAUGGGCGGACAGACCGACACCGCUAGCGGCAGCGACGCCGCCACCACCGUCACCGCCGUAACGGCCUUCCUCCACAGCGUGCAUUUCGCCGCGGACAUCUGCUCCUUCAGCCGCGGAAGGAGCUCCGAAAACAGCCUUGGGUCAUUCUCUGGCGGCGGCGCUGCAGAGGACGGUGGUGGCGGCGGCGGCGGCGGCGGCUCGGCGCCGAACUCCGGAGCUAGUAGCUACCGCUUCCAGCGUGCGGCGUCUGGCGGGUCGACAUCCUCCGGCGGCGGCGGCGGCGGCGGCGGGGCGGGAGCCCUUGUAACGGUUUCUUCCGAGAAUAUCAUCGGCCACAUCUCACCUCGGAUGUCAGAUCCUCAGAGCGCUGCCACCGUUGCCACCGCUGGCGGCGGCGGCGGCGGCGGCGGCGUCAGUCGGCCCAUGAGCCGCUUAUUCGGCGGCCUCUUCCCGGGCAACGGUGGUGGUGCUGGUGGUGCUGGCCAACGCUGAGAUGUAAAAUUAGGGAACGGAGUCGGAACUGAGCAAAUAGGGUGGUUUGUGAAAUACCGGUAGUCCGGUAGUUUGUUGGCCGUGGUGGUUGGAUUUGUCGUAUCCUGUCGUUCCCCCCUUGACCACAAAGGCGCUUUGGUCUGUACUGCAGCAUUAACCCCAGAGGCGAAGUGACAAUUAGCAGUUUCCUUCAAAAGAAAUAUUAUCAUGUUCAUUAUUUUUUGCAUUUACAGGUCCUGUUAAGGGAAAGGCCGGGUAAUGGCCCCCAACAUUCCACACGCCGCCAGCAGCGCUUCUUCCGCGCACCUGUUCCUUGGGAACGAGGAAUGCAGCCAGCAGCCACAGGCACGCUCUGCAUCGUUGCGUUCUCUGCACCCCCUUCCCUUCCCCUCCCGUCUUUGGACACGGAGGAGAUCUGAGACCUGGUCCAUUUUCGAGCGGCAGGCAGGCCGUGACUUGUUUGGGGCCCGUUGUGCAAAGCGUUAGCCAUUGCGAAUGAACAUGACGCCCCUUUCCUCCUCCUUCUCCCCCUCCUCAUCAACAUCAACAUCAUCAUCCUCAUGAUUAUCAUCAGCACCAUCAUCAGCACCAUUAUCAUCUUGGAGCAACAGCGGAGAACCACCGGGAGGACAUCGACACGGGGCUAUGUUUCACGCGUCGUUUUGGUCACCCAGUUUGUGCGCUGUUCACUUCCCACCGGGGAUGUACGGCAAAAAUAUUAUGAACUGAGCUGCGCUGGUAGGUACUGUAGAGGACUAAGUGUAUACUGAGUUAGGACUGUUAUUUUACUGUGUUGUCGCGUUGUAAGGCACGGCAAACUAUAGCUUUUAAAACUGGGGUGGAAUUUCUCUUAUGUCUGGGACCUGGACGUAGAUUGAACUGGAAGAAACCUUAUAUCUAAAAUAUUUUGGAAACAAUGUAUCCCUACGGUACGCGCCGGCUCUCCAUUCGCCAUGCGAUAUGAUGGUUGCCGUCGUUUUUAAAAAAGGUUGUAGUUAAGGCGGCUACUUGAGAAGCGUAACUGCGGACAUUCCAAGGAAACGUUUUAAACUUUUUUCAAACUGAUUUUUACUGGCGGUUCCCUUUCCAUGUAUGUGGCCCUCUGAGGUGCUUUUGUGCGUAUCGUAAAACCAGGCAGUGUGCUUGCCAGGUAUAAACCAGAUGUGCCUUGUGUGUGUGAGUAUUCAUGUGUAUGUAUGUAUUUUGUAUUUGUAUGUAUGCGAUGUACGAGAUGGCGUGCGCGCCCUUUUUUGCGGCUCUUUGUCCGUGCCCUGGACAAGGCUACAGGUUUUGGCUAGGAGACGGAGCGUAAGGGGAGGGGACGGCGAAAAUUGACCGCUGCAUGUGCGCAAGUGCAGGCUUGCCUGAUAGUCUGUAUGUCUGCAUGUGUGUCGGGUGAGCGCCAACGUGCCUUAUGCAAUAUCAUGUUCGACAAGUUCUGCUGGCCCUGGGCUUACUAUCGUUUUUUUCCAUGUAUGCGUAGGUCUGUAUAUGUACGUAUGUGUGUAUAUGUACGUGUAUGUGUGUGAAGGUUACGAAUAUCUAUCUGACCGGGCCUGACGACACUGGGCGGGGGCUGCUCCCUAGCCCCAGCGGAAAGACUGCCUAAGCCCUCUCCCGCGGACGGGAGAGGGGCGUGUGUGUAUUGCCGUACUGCCGCAAUUUUUUGGAAAACGCUGUUUGGCGGGGGCUUGGUAGUGAGAGCCGAAAUUGUUUGUGGUCAUGAUCUUUAAUAACAUUUUGGCGACUACACACCAGCGUUCGACACCCCGUACGGGGCCCGUAAGUUUUUGGCCUUUUUUUCGGUAUCCCCGUACAGGCGCUUGGCUUUCGCUGAGUGUGCCAUGCCCCCGUGUGUAAUCGUUCACGCGAAAAUAACAUAAAUAACGAUUUGCAGGGCAAAAAAAAUGCAAAGUGUCACUUUCCACAGCGUUUUAGCCAAGGACAGUGUCCCCGUAAAGGUUUUGCGGGGUUACGGGGGCCCCCGUAAGGUUUUCGGCCAGUACAGGAGGCUGGUACGGGGGCCCCUCCGUAAGGAAAAUUUGGGAGGUACGGGGGAUCCCGCAAGUUUCAGUGUCGAACCCUGCUACACACUAUCACCAGACAAGUUGGGUGUCGGCUUCCUCGAAGCCGGAAAAAGGGCGGGCCCCCCUUGCAUCCGUACAGGCCGGUAGCUAGCGUGGCACGUGUGACAAUUGAUGGGUAGUGUCAACGCGGUGGGAGAUGUGCUUUGUUGCAGCAGUGCUGAUGGUGUGAGAGCUAAGCUUGCACCGGCGGAAUCGUCAGCACCGUCUGCGGGCGCCACGCGAAUCGCAUCCAUCCCGGGUGCAUGCCGCAUGGACAGUGCGGCAGACCGCAAGUCGGAAUGCCCGUGCGGGCAAAUGGUAACGAAAGCUGGGUGAAUUCCGGUGCUGUCUGUGAUGUUUAUCCCCGAAGCGCCAGCGGCCUCAGCAAUCCGCCCCACAGCCGCGGGCUUCAUCGGGGCACACCGCAAGUCUCCGGAGGCCCCGAGCAUUGGCUAAAGUAAAUGUACAAAUGAGCAGGUUGCGCAUUCCAUAGAGAAAUGUAAGCAAAUUUGUCGGCCUGCUGGUGGCAAGUCGGAAUGCUCAUGCCGGCAAAUGGUAACACAAGCUGGGUGUUCAAGUUAUCAUACGCUGUCAUCUCGGAAAUCAAUGAUGAGAGGCACGGCGCCUUUUUGAGAUGAAACUUAGCCCGAGAGGCGUUGAUGUGACUAUGAGCUCGGUCAAUGGAGGCAGCCAAAGUUGUUUGUGCUCAUACGGUCUUUGUUAGCUACAUGCGAGAUACCUUGCAAUAGAGAAUGCUAUAUAGUACCUAUAACGCGUUUUUCAGCCGGGCGAGAUGUUAUGUUUGGUCCGUUACACACACACACACACACACACACACACACACACACGGACACGGACAUGGGCAAUCCUACAGGUCGGGGCCCCCCUGGGCGCUUCGCGCUGGGGCCCCGCCCAAAAACACCGCAAGUGUGACACACUAUAUAUAUUGUCGUCUCCAAAGACUUCAGCAGCUCCGAAUCCCAUUUGUACGGCAUCCGGGAUCUGGCACAUUUUGUGAGGAAGAUUGGCGACUGGCAAGACAAGAAAAGGAAAUCACCCCCGAUAGCUUUUUUGCCUUUUUUUCGAUUCCUUAUACAAGUUUUGACUUGGUCGGCACAUGACUGCGAUUGGUAGUCUUACAGGUAUGGGGUCACGCACCCUCAACCAUGUAACACACACACACACACACACAUGACUGCAAAUGUGCCGGCGCCGGCACCACCAUAUCAUAUCACCAUACGCAGUCAACAUCAAGGUAAAAUCUACUGAUUGAUCGCUAUCCCUAAAACUCCAACUGGGUCCGUAUGUAUGUCAGGUGCCAGAUGCGUGACGAGGUCCUCUUGCAGCUCAGCAGGUAUAACGAGUCCUAAAACCCGUGCCAUCAGUCCUGCAGUGCUGUUCUCCUUUCUUUACCUUUCUUCCUACGACCUACGUAAAGCUUUGGAAUACGAAAAGCUUUGGAAAGCCUUGCAAACAAUGCUAUACAAAUACAAAUUCCUUCUCUUUACUUCUUCUCCAUUUCCAGAAAUGGAGGCAACCAAUCGAAUCUGCGCAAUCACUCAAAAGUCGGCGACAGAGAGGGGGAAGACGCCCCCUGUCGUGCCGCGUGUCGUGAGCGAGUUACAUCGCGGGCCUCGCACCAAGGCGCUAUGGUACGGCAUUCCUGCCGGUAUCGGAGAUCUUGCGGUACAGAGGAAGCAACUCCUUAAAUGUGCCGACCUUGCCGUUCAGUAUGUCCUCCAGUGGUGUAUCGCCGUACAGCUUGUUGUUGAACUCCUGAUUAGGCCAUAUCUCAGUGCCUGAACAAGCAAUGCGAGGACACCCGGGAAGCGAGCGAUUGGGAGAAUAACGGGUAGCGGUUGGCCCCGACAGGAAUAUGCUGGGCACAUGUGUGCUCAGGUGUACGGGCGUUUUAGUUCCCGUACCAUUGCGCCAAACGGCCAUGACAUACAUAUAUACAUAUAAUAUAGGGUUUGGCACCACUGGUAAGGCGCGACCAUUGCCCCCGGGAGAUCCCGGGAUCGAUACCCGUUCGGGUCAAAGGCCUUCCGAUGGUGGAAGGCAAUGCGCCCCUAGUUGAUGGACGAUGGUGAUCUGGGACAGAGUUAACCUGCAAGCCGCCCAGGUAUGGAGUUGGGCCGAUGUCGACCCGGCAGAUUCCGUUGGAUGCUGGUGGUGGGUGCGGAACCUGAAAUUGACUAGGGUGACUGGAUGAGGGUGCCCCGAAAUACCGGGGAAGGCAGGGUUUCGCAGGGUAGCUGCCACGGGCGAAGAUACACCCCCCUGUUUCACACAACAUACAUGCAUACAGACAUUAAAGAUGGUUACAAACAACUCUUACCACAUUACACCAACACUUUGCAAUUUACCCCUUGUGUGUGUGUGUGUCGUCCGUCCAGAUUUACAUCCCCCACCCAGCUGCCCCCUCACCGUUGAUGGAAAGAUUGACCAGCAGCCCGGCUGAGAGACUGUACGCGAACACCGUGCUGCUGUUGUCAGCCUGGAAAAGGUAUGGAACAUAUGAAUAUAUAUGAUGACGUAUAUUACUCGUUUAAGAAGCAACGGGAAGGUGUAAAUAUGACGACAUUACGUUUUAUUUGAUGUUUAUCUAUUUUGUAAUAUUUAUGGCGUAACGGAAUGAAAGAAGCAGCACGCAAGGAAAGAAAAGAAAACCCUAAUUCUUUGAAACCCGUUUUAACGACGCUAAACGCACGAAUAGACAAAAAUGUACAAUGGUGCCGUAAAAAUCCUUAAGAGACAUGAGAAAAGAUGCGUUAGCGGGGUGAUUGAUGACGUGUUUCCUUCGUACGGCUCGCGGAUACUGGACCACGGUACCGUUCGUCCAUAUUUGCACAUGCACACAAGCACACAAAACACAGAGCGACACGGGCACCUUCAAAAAUCCACUUUUCUAACCACUGUUAUCCUUUGCUCGGACGAAGCCCUGUGGCCAUGUCAACACUACGUUCGAACCUACAUACAUACAUACAUACAUACAUACAUACAUACAUACAUACAUACAUACAUACAUACAUACAUACAUACAUACAUACAUACAUACAUAGUCAGGCGGCUGGCAGAAGUUAAGGCCUGACUUCUGCUCCCAGUCGAUCCAGUCGACCCGGGUUCAAAUCCGCCUGCCAGCUCCUCGGGUGUUUGAGGAGUGAUGAAAUGGGAGGUGGCCCCCCAUCAUAUGGACGGUGUAGGACGUGAUAAUAUCAACUUGCGAGCUGACCAGGAACUAAGUUGAUGCGCCGUUGAUCCGCUAGAUUUGGUUGGAUGCUGGUGGUGAGUUGCCGAACCCAACGAAUACAUUCUGAAGUCGGAUGGGGUGACGGAUUAGGGUGCCCCUCUAGCAGGGGAGAGCAGGGACUGCCCCGGGAAAGGGGGCCGCUGGCGAAGUUAACCACCCUGUAACAACAUACAUACAUACAUACAUACACAUCAUCCGUACCUGCACGUCCAUGUGACUUGUACGACCAAAGGUUCCAGCCGGCACACCCCCCAUCGCGCCUUCCGUAGUCACGAGUCCCAGGUCCGUGCCGAUCACCGUCUUGUCCUGAGUGAACCUCAGGAUGGAGCUGUACGACAUCAGCGCCAGUACGGAAUGGACCUUUGGGCAGCAGCGGGGAGGGGCGAAGGCGAUGGGAAGGGGGACAGGGGGGAAGAGGGGGGAAAAGACGAACCACGUGAACGAGUGAAGCUGCUGCCAAGGAAAGAGCGCUUCGCGGCCGAUGUACAGGACGGACGCAGACAACCGAGCAGUCGGCGGUUGUGAAGAAGCCGUCCUCGGGAUGAUGUAGUGAUGACGACAACGGAAAACUACCUACCUAGCCGCCAAAACUAAUGGUGGGGUGAACGGGAAGGCAAUAAGGGCACAACCCUCAACAAGGCUUCCCUAAACUUUUCCCCCUCGCCAUCAUCACCUCGCGUUUCCUAGUCAAAAUCAACACAACAACACAGAAAACACAGACAGACAUGACAGGAAAACCACUCACCAAAAGAAAGUGUCCCUCUUUCCAUCCAGCCUCUGCACUUUCCCCUCAAACAGGUCAUCGCCCAACACACAUGUACACGCACCUUUACCGCACGUACCUCUUGACACAUACACACACACACACAUCCCCCUGGCCAGCCCCCCCUGGCCUCACUUACCGCCUCAUAUCCCACCGCCGCUCCGAAACCCACUUGAGACACCGUGAAGUACACCGGGGGUGACCAGCGGGAGUUGCCGAAACGGUCCUGGGGGUCAAAAAGGGGAGGGGGGGGGAGAAGGGGGGAAAAAGGGGAGAAGAGCGGGGGUAGGGGGAAAGGGGGUUUGGGGGGUGAGAUGAACCACUGGCGGAUGCAGCAGAUACCCUAGAUAGACGGUCCAGUAAGCGUUACAUGGGGAUAAGACCGUACAAUUAGCAUCGUAAUGCUUUGAGAUCACUUAAAGGAGGCCGCCCCGCGUCCGUCAAGGUUUAAAGAGGGUUAAGCGGGUUAGGAGUCGGAGUCGGAGUCGGAGUCGGCGCGAAAUUGGGGGGCUUUAGGAAACACAUGAAGAGAGGAGGGCUCGAUUUGAUGGAAUAUGAGAUCAGGAUGUGCUGGUAAGGAUAAAAAACGCCGUGCCUGGUGACAUAGACCUGGCCAUCCCGUCCACAUGGCGGGGUCCGUCGCGGCAGGAGAAGAAUUAAGAGCUCCUGUAAUGUUAAGUUUCACGUCCUGCAGCCGCCCGCGGCAUCCAUAUACGUAUGGAAUUUGGGGAAAUGCCGUACAGUUGUACCUGGUCUAGCUUGCGAAUGACGAAUCCGGAUCCACGGGCGACGGUUAAGCCCAGCCCGCCUUUAGCUGCUUUAACGAAGGCGAGACCCUACGGGUGUGCGUAAGCGCGAGCAUGAGAAGGUAGUGAGUUGUCCAUGGAAGGGUCAAAAAGGAUAUUUUGCACUUUCGGCCAUUCACAGCGCUGCACGGAGGCACGUGCAAAAAGGCAUGUUCAACAAAUGAAGUAUAAAUUAUGAUUUGGAUCAUGGUGCCUCGGGCAGCUGUCCGAAACGUUUAGGUUUCACCGGUGCCGCGAAGCACGCACCUCACAGGCGUUCACUAUCCCAGGCCGCAUGGCGUCAUCGCCGCCAGUGGUUAUCAGCUUUGUAAUUAGGUCAGAUGCCCAAGCUGCGUCGUCAGCCCUGCAAGGCCUCCGGAAUAUUCACUCGUAAGGGAGAUAGACGAAUAAUACUACAACUCACAGGUUCAACUUACAGAUGGUUCUUCAAGUUAUCAUUAUCUAAUUCUUUGAACUCAUAAACAUGUGAGCUGUGGGCUGAGGGUCCAGACGGGGGCUCACUUGCAGGUUCGGCCAUUCCAGUGCGCCUUCCCAAUUGAAUUCCUAAGGUACGCUUUCUACCUGAUCACCCAUAUGCUAACACAAUUGUGCUGUCGCAAUCCUAGAUUCAGAGUUGUGCCGUAAAACGUCGCAGACGACGUUCGCGCGUACGACUCUUGGCCGAGCCCAUGACGCGAAACGCAUCUCAACUCAAUUAUUGUUCGAUAUACUGUGUCAUGAUGGUUUUAUAUACAAACAUAUCUUUCUUUGAGGUUCCCGUCAGAUAUCGGGAACGCUUCGGACAGUGCGUACGUUACCGAAGCCAGAAUGCAGUAUUUGAACUUAAGCGUAAAGCAACUUGAGGAAAGAUGACCAUCGGGAUCAUAAUCGGGUUCCUAUGCCAUCCGACGGGCCCCCGGCACUGUCAAUGUAGUUGCGAGUGCGAACAAGGCUUCAGGCUACGUGCGCGUUAAAGCUUGUUUAGCUAAUUCUAUUGAUGCUGCUGCCAAUAUUAGCUAUGCUGGUUUUGAAAUGCUGGAUUUCCAAUUUCCUGCAAUUCCUCAAGUUGGCAUUUCGGUUUAAACCGGUACCUGCCAGAGGGCAAGGUGCAGGGUCUGACUCAUAGAUUCCUCCAGGUUACACACACGUGAAUAAUCAUGAUUCAUCCAUGUCAGCUGUUAGGCCCUGAAUAUCUAUAUCCAUGAUGGCGUGCAGCCCGUCGGAGCUCAAUCGUUUGGUGCCGGAGCAGUACCAGACUUCGCGCAUCCAAACAGCUUCCAAACGGAAUCGAAGGCCUCAGAUUGAAAGCAAAUGUCUUUUUAUACGAAAAUCCUUACCCAAAACCCAUCGCAAAAUCCAGCCAAGAUGAGUCUGAGAGCAACUAGCGCAAUCCUGCAAGCCGUUGCUCGUAUUCGCAGCUCUUCCCACAAUUCCGAGGCAAGCCCACAACCAAGAUUCCGUUUCUACCCCAACCAAUGCCUUCUCCAGUACACGUCCAAGGACUGACAUGCUUCAGCCGUCUUCAGUUCCUCGUCCUCCGCACUCCUUGGUCGCACUUCUAACGCUAAUUUACUCCAUGCAAAUAUUCCACCCUCAGCUAUACCCCGCUCCACUCAAACGCACCACAUAAUUGGGUUCAACUUCUCCCCGAUGCUCAUCGCACAACGCAACAUAUAACCCACAUCGCGUUCUGCCCAAGCCUCCCGAAGCACAUCUUCCCGGGGCUCUUCCACAUUCCAGGCCCGUCCCCUGAGUGCUGCUACUUCUGCAGCUGUUGUUGCAUGUGGUCUCGGAGCCAUAACCAAGGUGUCGUGUAUGCGCCAUCUGCAAUGAAGUGUCCCGUGAGCUCCUUGUUGAGAUCUGCAUCGGUUGGUUUCAAAGUGUUUUCGAAAUGUUGGCAAUAUUUGUUUUGAGGAUUAUUCUGUGUAAGGAUGUGCGGAGGUGAGGAUGCAUCAAGGAAAGGCAGCACAAGAGGCAAAGAGCCAGAAAUAGAAAAGUCAUGCUGCACGACAGACAAAACAGACGCAUUAGACACCUAUUACACACGCUGCGAUGACGACGCAAUAUAAUUUCUUCCCUCUCCCCCUUCAGAUUAUCCCAUUACACCGCGUACUGAGGACCCAACGGCUACAAGCUUGCAACAUGACGCUCUCUAGCCGGGCUGUACUUUGGUGCCGUACAAGAGAGUGUAUUUUUAUUAAAAGUAUUUUAUUGCAAGCACUUACGCAUAUAGUUGUCCUUCCGAAUGUUGAGCGCGAUUGUUAUAAGUGCUGCGAAGAAGCCAGCGUAGAGGGCGUACAGGCCAAUAAAGUAGGCCAACAGGCCGACUGUGAGGGGUGAGAGGGUAAAGUGGUGUAAGUAGAGGGCAUGCAUCGAUUGCGUGCGAAGAUGGCGAAGGGAAGCGGGGAAGAGUAGGGGGAGAGAGAGGAUGGGUUGGUGGGUGGGUGCGCGUGGGUGUAGAACAGAGCGGGGCGGGGAUGGAGCAUGCUCGCGGCGACAUGGGAUGCUCCUGGGAAAAAGGGAAGGGAGGAGUUAUAUUUUGUGGAAUUACGGGGCUUUAAUUGGGGAAGUGGAUUGCCUUUCGGAAUGCCAUGGUGCCGAAAAGAAUCUUCAGUUAUUUGUUUUGGAGAUACGAGAGGCAAAGGGCCCUGUCCCUCUUGUUGUAUUGCCCUGGGUUGAAUUUGGGUUGGCGCAAAGGCAAGGUGAGCAGGUACUACAACAAGUCCGGAGCUGGUUACCUGCCACCUAUCAGGUCAAGAGAAUGAAGAGGAAGUACUAGGUUCCCAUACAUUCCCAAAUUUACACAACGAAAUGUCGCUUGGAAUCAGGGCUGCAUGAGCAGCCACUUGUAGAGAGCCCGCCCCAGUCAGCUCAUGGCUUACAUGUCUGAAACAUAUCGAAACAUGAACAAAAUCGCCUCUUUGAAUGAUCCAAUGAAAUGGCCUGGAAGUCAGACGUGAGUCAGACGCAGGUCAGUCCUGACAGAAGGACCUGCAAGCAGAGCCUUCUGAGUUCGUUCGAAAAAAUCACUUACUACUUGAGACGAUCCAACACCGUCGAGAUUUGCCAUUUUUGCCGCCGAUGUAUCUUGGUGGCGAAACGUAUAUAUUCUGUGUCCCCGGACAAUUGCCUUUUCUGCCGUUAAGGUUUGUAAAUUUAGGCCGUGGAUAACAAAUAUUUCUGAUACAUAGAUAAAUCAAGGUUUAAAGCACCUGAGAGCUGUUCGACUUAUUGGUGGAUGCAGUUGGUUAUCGUUAUGAAUACGGCCAAAAGAUUCCUUCACAAAUGGCACUGACACGCAGCAUAAUAGCGUUUUGGUCGCGAUUACAAUUUUACGGGGCUUGGAAGACCCACACGAAUUACAGUCGACGCCUUUUUAAGAAACAGUAAUGUCCUGCUUUAAAACAAAACAUCUACCACCACCGACGAACCGCCAUAAUUAUGAGGUAUAUUAACUUCUCAAUUAAUAGGAAUACUUACUGGCUCUGGAUUUGAGUUCUUGGUCGCAGUAUUGCGUACUAGCAGGUAACCAUCUAGUGCAGGACCUGGUGUUGAGGCCAACAUAACAAAGGUGCGCUUGCUUUCGCUUAUUGUAAUGUGAACGAUUAAAGCUAUUUUACCCCCUCAUCAAGAAACGAUAACUUUGUGCUUGUGUAGAGCGUCCCGCAGGCCUGUGUAGGUCUUGCCGGCGAGGCCCGACGCAGAAUGGUUGAUGAUAAGAGCGGAGGGCAGCGUUGCUUCGGCAUCAAAAACAAUUCCAAGAGCGACUCAGAUAAGCAGAAGAACCUUCGAAAGGACUUGCCGAUUGUCGCCCAUGAGUUUAGUUUGGAUGAGCUCGCCGCGGAGUACAGCGUCUCUCUAGAGAGAGGACUUACGUCGGCACAAGUUCUCGAGAGUCGCCAAAAACACGGCCCAAAUCGGUUGACGCCACCGAAAGUCAAACCGGCAUGGUGGGUGUUCCGAGCAGCCGCACGAUGCUGUCCUAAUUCACCACGACCGGGCAGAAGCCUCUCCAUCCAUCCGCCAGGUUCCCGAUAAACUUCCCGGAAGGCUCUGUCGCCCAAGUCACCAGUUGAGCAAAAUCAAGCUCCUGGGUGCUGCCUCAUCAUAGGAAAUAGGGUCCUUGCCACAUGCAUACUUCCUAGCCCUUUUUUCACCAACGUCACCGUUCUCCUAAAAGCUCUCAUGCACGCACCGCCACCGCUUCAAUAUCAUUCACAACUUGUCGUUGUACAGGGUCCUGUACUUGGAGCAGUACACCAACUUCUUCUCCUUGCUGCUCAUCGCGGGUGGCAUCCUGUGCUUCAUAGCGUAUGGCAUCGACCAGUCCGAUGCUUCCAAUCUGUACCUGGGGGCGGUGCUCAUCGCGGUGGUCUUCAUCUCCUCCACGUUUGCAUAUUUUCAAGAGGCGAAGUCGCAGGUCAGAGUGAUAAUUCACGUACUCGGUGCGAUUCGAACCGUGUACAAGUUACUAUUUGUAUUGCCGCCGGCCAGCGCGGUUACAUAAGUUAACUAACUUCACAACUAUAACUUCUAAAUCGUAGCAGCACUAGUUGUUCCCGUUUGGCCCUUCUCUUCAUGAUAUUGAUCCUGUUAUCUUCAUCUUUGUAUAUAUUGCCUAUAUAGCACAGCUUGUAUAGGACAUGGUUCCCUUCCCCUCUCUCCUCAUUCCCCCCCCCUCAGGCCAUUAUGGACGGGUUUAAAUCUCUGAUCCCUAAGAAGUGCAAGGUGGUGAGGGAUGGGGCAGCCAACGUGUUAGAUGCCGUGGAGCUCGUCCCCGGAGAUCUAGUGGAGUUCCAGGUUAGAGGUCGUUGGCAGUUAGUGGUUAGCGGUUAGAGGUUAUGGACCAACUCCGACGCGGAUUUGGUGCUCGCCUGCAUUUGAUCUGGGUCUCACGUGUGUCGGCCACACCAGCAGAGUUUUGGGUGUCAAUGUGCACAAAUGGUUUGCGGACUCAGGGUUGAUAUGGGGCGAUCAGACAAGCGCGUCAUGCUAAUGCAUGACCUCCUCCACCCCGCUGCGGGAGGAUGUCAACUACAGUUGCCCACCUCUGACCUGAUGGCUGAUGUGAUUUUUGAUUUGAUUUGGUGUAAUUUGAUCAGGUCUGAUCUGGGUCAGACAGACGUUAGGGUUUGGGAUUUUGGGGUCAUGCGCCAACAGAGCUUCGGGCGACACACUGACCCAAAAUUUGGGUUCAGCAGCCCCAUUGCCCCUUGGCCAGGAACCCUUGGCCAUUCCGCCACAACUACUAACCGACUCCAACCGCCUUACAGGAGGGCGACCAAGUCCCUGCUGACGUCAGGGUUAUCGAUUCGUACAACCUCAAAGUGGACAACUCGGCACUGACUGGUACGUCCGUACAUCCGUACAUCCUUACGAAGGGGUUAGGAGGUGCAAUGAUUGUUUAAGGAGGACGUAAUGAAACACAAUGUCGUUGAUCUAUCUGUUAGAGUGUCGCUGUACGGCUUAACUCCCCUCUCUUACCCCGUGCCUUGCUAUGUAAGCCCAAAUUUCCUAAAAUCUCAAUACUCCCCACGAAACUCUCACAUUCACAAACUCAUCAGGCGAAUCGGAGGCUUGUGAACGCGGCCCAACCCUACACGUCACCAACCACGCGGGAGACAUUGAGGAGGGAGGGUCCGGCAAACCCAAGGCCAAGGUACGGCACAUGUACGGCUGUCGUAUGGGUCGUCGCGCGCGCUGUGGUAAUGGAAAGCGUUUAUUUAUGGUGGUGAUGGGCCUCCGUUUAAGGAUGAACAAUCCCGCUUCGGGUUGUUGGGGAAGUUGCUAGGUUCUGGUUGCGGUGGUUGGAUCGGAUAGGGUAUCAAAACACGUUUUCUCCCCUUUCCCGCCUUCCUCCCCCCCCUCUCCCAGAUUCCCGCCAUCGAAGCCACCAAUCUGCUGUUUUACUCCACCAUCGUGGCCUCGGGACACGGCCGGGGUGUCGUCAUUGGUACGGGAGAUAAUACCGUGAUGGGGCAGGUGAGCAAAGGGGAGCUGGGUUUGCCUGCCUAAGAUCUCCACAAAACUUCAAAGAUCCAAAAAUUCCGGGCCCUGCUUCCCCUUGGACCCCGUUUCAGAUCGCCGGGCUUACCGGGGAGACCCAAGGGGAUAGCCAACCGCCAAUUGUACGGGAGGUGAGUACGGACGGUUGACUACGUUUUUUUGGGUUUGGGUUUUUUGGGUUUGCGGGUUUUUGGGCGGCCUGUGGGUAUGAAGUUUCCUUCCAACUCGUGUUGCUCGUGACAUACGGGUUUUCUAAGGACAGGUCGCGGUAUGUGGUGAUUUGGGUUUUAGGGUUUUCUUGAGUAGUUUGCCUUACCGCUUUUAGGGGUCGUCCCACCAGGCGAAGAGGUACCUGCGGGCAGGGGAAAGUUGUGCUUGCUUCCGUGGGAGGUGGCGAGCCUGAUAGAGGUAGAGGUAGAGGUCCCUGUCGUAGCGUUCCCGUACUCCGUACACCCCUUCAUGUCCCGUCCUUUCCAUUCAGACAUACAGACAGGCACACAUACACACACACUUCCGCACUGUGACUGCCGCAGGUGAACCGCUUCAUCACCAUCAUCUCUGGCAUCGCCAUCACCAUCGGUAUCGUGUUUUUGGCUGUGGGAAUCGGCUUGGGGGUCAUGACUGUCGUACAGGUGCGCGGGGUGCUUUGCAACCGUGUCUGGAUUACUUUUUGCACAUACUAAGCAUUUGCUUUGGGUGAUUUGUCUGCACGAUUUACGGGGAUAAAAUAUAUGUCUCAUCUUAGAAUAACUCAGAGAGACAUACAUACGGACGUACCUACGUACAUGUAUUCUACGGCGCGCACCUCCCCACGGCUUUCUCCACUGCCUGGCUUAGCGCCAAUACCCCGAUUUGAUGGGGAUGGGCAUGAGGAUGGGGAUGGGUUUGGGGGCUGGAGAUGGGUGGCAUCCUCUCUCUCGCCCGCGGUUUUUCGGAAAUAGACAUCGCGCGGAGCCCUGAGGCUGUUAAGGCUGUACCAUGCAUGGAUUACAUGGAAGCCGGGCACUCUGUCAUUAUCAUCGGAGACCACCUUCGCGAAUACUCUUCGGAGUCCCAAGUACCUUGCCUCCCCUGCCCACUGCCCCGUAUAUACAUUCGGACACAUACAUUCGUACACAUACAUCCGUACACAUAGAUACGUACACAUAGAUCCGUUGGAUCCUGGUGGUGGGUGCGGAACCUGAGCGAACCACUGAGAAGUUGACCUCGGGUGACUGGAUGAGGGUGCCCCGAAAUACCGGGGAAGGCAGGGUUUCGCCAGGUAGCGGCCGCAGGGUGAAGAUAUGGCCCCCUGUCCCACACAUACAUACAUACAUACAUACAUACGUGCACACGCACACAGGCUCUGGUAUUCGCCAUCUCCGUCAUCGUGGCCGUUGUCCCGGAGGGUCUCCUGGUGACCCUGACGGUGGCCCUGGCGCUAACCGCCAAGAGAAUGCACAACAAGAACGUGCUGGUCAAGAACCUUCAAUCAGUGGAGACUCUGGGCUGUACGACAGUCAUCGCGUCGGAUAAAACCGGAACGCUAACACAGAACCGCAUGACUGUGCAGCAUUGCUGGUACGGCGGAGGGGGCUCGGGGGGAUGGACGCUGGGGGGAAGGGGAGGGGAGGGGAGGGGAGGGGAGGGGAGGGGAGGGGAGGGGAGGGGAGACGUGUGUGUGUGUGUGUUUGGGGGGUGAUGAGCGAGAUGAGAUGAGAUGAGCGAUGACAAUAAAAAAACCGAGUUUUAUAUUUGGACGUACGUUAUGGUGGCAGGUACGACAACCAGCUGUACGACGUGCCGGCGGCUCGCAACAUGCCGGAGCUUCAGAAGAUGAUGGCUGAUUCCGAAAAGAAAGGUCCGUCACAAGUCGUUUUGUUUUUAAUUUUUAUUUUACGUUUUGUUUUUGUUUUGUUAUGUUUGUUUUAUUUGAUUUUGUUUUGUUUUAGUUUGUUGUCAAAAAUGAAUGUGAUUAAACCAUUUUGCUUGUAGAUAGAACUUAAGGCAGGACCAUUUUUUCCUGUGCAGCACUUGACCUCCUGGUCGCCUUCGGAGUUCCCUCCUCCAACACACUUGCCUGCAACAUGUGCCUACGUGUGCACCUCCCUGAUCACCAUCACCCUUUCAAAUCCCUGUCGCCCCCCCCACACCCCCGGGCUGGGCAUGUUGCUGCACAGGCCUUCAGGGCUGGCCGCUCUUUGAUCCGAAGACUUCCUCCUUCCAAAUGCUGCAGCGAAUUGCAACGUUGUGCAAUAACUCGGACUUUAUCGUACAGGUACGAUCUUAAACAUGGUUCUGAAUAUGGUUGGGGUUGCGGUUACUGGUGGGCGGGUUUUUUCCUUUUGUUAUAUAAUUAUUAUUGUUGUUAUUGGUUAUUGUUGUUCUGGGUAAUUGUGCAGGUGGGUGAACCGGCUAUGAUUACUGCCGUACCUACCUUUAUAAAUCCACCUAGAGACCUGUUCUCGCCCGCACCCUCUCUUUUGCCGAGUUUCGACCUUAUUUUGGCCUCCUUCAUAUCCUCUUCAUGUCAGGUUGUUUUGAUCAUGACCAACAAAAUGGACACGCAGAUGCGUCAAUGCUGUUGCUUGUAUAGGAAGCGCUUUCCGCUUUUACUGCAUCACGUUUAUGCAUAAUCGCUAACAAAUCAUAAUGCGCUGUGGACUAAUUUGGCAGGAUAAGUUCGAUCCGACUCGGCCUCUGUUGGAUUUAGAGAAGGAGGCGCUGAGCUCGGAUUUCAAUCUCCUGGGGCUUCAGACCACAGGUGUGCGUGCGUACAUAUGUCUGUCCGUACGAUUGUGUGUACGAUUUGGUACGGGGUUCGUUUUAAUAUAUGCAAUGUAUGAACGACUUGAAGGAUUCAUCUUUGCAUCGCUGUCCAUUCGACAAGGCUCCUUCCUGCGCGGUAAUGACGACAGGUCGGCCGUCCCCUGGGCCCCAUCCAUGAAUAUUAUAUCAUAAACAUAUACAACAUGAUUAAAAAUAUAAAACAAAAAACGGUUGACAUCGUUGUAAACCCACAUCACAAGACGCCAACCGCCUUAACUAACCGUCAUAACCACCAACCAACAAAAAAAUGCAACCUAUAGCCCUAAAAACCCUAAUUACCAUAAUUACCAUGGUCCCUUCUCACACCUUCUAUUCUCAGGCGACGCUUCUGAGAGCGGCCUCAUCAAGGCGGUCCAGCUGCUGCAUGACGUGAAGAAGUACCGGGCCGAAUAUCCCAAACUGUUCGAAAUCAAAUUUAACUCGACCAACAAAUACCAGGUGGGUUGUAGUAGUGCAUACAUAUGGGUUAUAGUGCCUAUAUAAGAUAUUCCUACUCCUAUUACUCUUACUCCUCGGUUUACAUUUCAGAUCGUAUGUGAUCCUGUCUCAAUGUCAGUCGUUGUACCCGGGGGUAAUUCCGGCCCACAACCAACCCCCGUUUGUUUGUCUACCCGUCUGUAAAACCCUAAGUCCAAUCUUAAUUGGUUGACUCCUAAUCUCCCGGGGCCCCCUCCUCCCAACCCUCCCUGCAUUCGGGCAAAACGUUUGGUGCUCUCUCGUACGACGACAAUGUACGACAAUUGCAGAUCGGCAUUCAUGACCAAAGGAAGGACGGCGAUACGCGUCCACUGCUGCUCAUGAAGGUGUGUAUGUACGCCUGUCUUUGUCUGCCUGUAUGUAUGUUGUUACAGGGUGGUUAACUUCGCCAGCGGCCCCCUUUCCCGGGGCAGUCCCUGCUCUCCCCUGCUAGAGGGGCACCCUAAUCCGGCACCCCAUCCGACUUCAGAAUGUAUUCGUUGGGUUCGGCAACUCACCAUCAGCAUCCAACCAAAUCUAGCGGUUCAACGGCGCAUCAACUUAGUUUCCGGGUAGCUCGCAAGUUGAUUUUAACACGUCCUACAUCGUCCAUAUGAUGGGGGCCACCUCCCAUUUCAACACUCCUC
rnacentral:lncRNA from 1 species